UAUUUAUUUUGCUGUCACUGAAAUACACGAGAAUAACAACUUUAAUUUGCAGCAGUCUUAUUCUUCUUUUAAGACCUAUUGGCCGUGACUUCUUCUGUGCCUUUAAUUUGACAUAUUUUCUCCAGGAUGUUUACGUUCUGAGGUUAUACAACCGGUUGGAUGAGACGAAGAAGGGAGAAGUAAGUAAAUUUCAGCUCUAUCACCUGUUUGUUUAUUUAAAAUUUAAGAUAUUCCAGAAUCCGGACAGAUACAUAUUAUGUAAGAUAGGAGGAGCUUCGUGCAAUUCUAAGCUCAACAGAAGCUUGUUGUAAUAAAAUUGAUAAUUGAAGAGGAUAUGUGCCUGCACCAUUGCGUUCAAGCUUAACUUUGUCUUUCCAGGAUAGCGAGUCAAUUUUUUCUUUCGUCUCACUUGUUUUAUUGUAAAAAGCUGAAAUAAGUCUUAAUAAAUUGUAAGAUAUCUCAUGGUUCGUAUGUAUAUUUCUGGAAGAUUGCUUGUGCUACUGCUGGAGAAGCUCGAAAAUGGAUGGAAGCAUUUGAUCAUGCGAAGCAACAGGUACAAUAACAUUGUUCUGGGGGUUUUCUUUGAAGAACUAUAUAUAUUAACUCUAAACACUGUCAUUAUAAUUAAUCAGUUUAUACUUUUGAUUUCCGGCAUCAGUCUGUUAUGUUUGCAUUACUAUCUUGUAUUGUUUGCUUUCAAAUCUUAUCUAGGAGCCUCUUUUCCUCCUGUAUAGCCCCUGAAUUAAAUGUUCUACUUGCAUCAUUUUCAUUCCUUCAAUCGUAUAAUGUUUUUUAAUUGCCUAAUGAAAAGGUUUUUGUUAGAUUAUUUUUGUCUUUCUUCAUGAUAUAGAGACCAAGUUAGGUCCAAUCGCCUGAAAUAUAUUGUAUGUAUUUGAUAACUAUAUUGAGCAUUAAUGUGCUAAAGAUGAAAGACUAUCAAAUCUUACCUUACUUACAUUACCUGUUGAUGGAGAAGUACUGUCAACUCUUCUCUACACAUACACGUGUAUGUGUUUGUGUCUGUAUAACAAGGUGCAUUUACGUUUUUCGUAUUAUAUAUAUUCAUCUGAUUGAAAUUUACCUUACUUUUUAACAGGCAGAGUAUGAGCUGUCUAGAGGCCGUAGUACCAGAAACAAACUGAACAAGGAGACAGAGUAUGCUAAAUUCAAAUAAACAAAUUCUCCAAAUUUAUGUAAUUGAUAUGAUGUCUAUCAAUGCUGGUCAUUUCUGACAGUAACUGUUUUUUUAAAUUAAAAUAAUGUCUGAAUCACGAAGUAAAGUAUAUAUUGAGAAUGCAGUACAUUUUCUUUGUUAAAUGAAUGUAGUACAAUUUUAGUUUCCUUGGCACAUAAUAGAAUAUAUUGACCACCAUCUUGUAUGUUUAUAACAAUAAUUCUGACACUUGUAUUAAUUUUUUUGGUUAAUGAAGGAUUGAUCUGGAUGGGCAUCGGAGAAGAGUAAGGCAUUAUGCACAUGGUCUUAAAAAGUUAAUAAGGAUAGGGCAAGGUUAGCGAACAUGGUCUUGAUUUCACCAAUUUUUUUAUGCUGCCAUCAACUAUUGUGGAGUGGGUUGUCUUGUAUAUAUAUUCCUCAAUUAUAUUCAUUUUAUCCUCUAAAGAGGAAACCUAUAAGGGAUCGUUUGUUUCGCGUUCUGUUCCAUUUAAACCUAUACGUGGUGUUUGAUUGGGAAAAUGUUUUCUUCAAACCCAUACCUCAAACUUAUAAGAUAUGAGAUUUUCAUACCCAAGUGGGGAGGUGGGUAUGAAGUGUGAAUAUGUGGAAUCAUUUUUUCCCCCCUCUUUUAUUUACAUCUCUAUUUAUACUAUUACAUGUAAAUUGUUAAUACAAAAUGAAAUUAAUGACUACAAAAUAUAUCAAAAUAUUAAAUUUAUUAAAAUUAAGAAUAAUUAAUCAUUCAUAAAUAUUUUAAAUCAACCAUAUUCAUUCCAUCUCAACCAAACACAUUAUAUCAGAAAUGAUACCUCAACCCCAAACCACCUUAACCCGAUUCCUCAUUCCAACCUCAUACCCCUUCUUGAACCAAACGACCCCUAAGAUAUUAGGUUACAUGUCUGGCAAGGUCCUCAUAAUUAUAUUGUUAUGUUUGUGGCGUCAGCAAAAUAAAGAACCUUGCCUCAAGGUAUUAUUUAUGAACAAGCCUAGAGGUCUACUGUUUCUGAGGAGAUAUAAAGUAUAUCUAAUUUGUAUCGGAGAAAACUUCUGCAUUAUUAGAUACACUAAAUGUAAUUGAGUAAAAUAAAAUAGGUUAUGCUAAACAAAAUUUCAAAGAUAGCCAGAAUCUUGGAAUAACUAGAAAUUCCCACAAAAUCUCUUUUGCCUGCGGCAAAAGUAAUUAACUGCUGAUUAUUUCUCCAAGUAGGUCAUGACAUUUUGGGGACAUGCGUUGUGUAUGUAGGUCCGGAGACUCUUUUGCGCCAAUCCUCACUGAAUGUCAACAUACAAACCGCAGGGAACUUAGAAGGAGAUAGCGGAGAUGUUAUUGAAGGGCACGAGUGGAAGUGUGUCCGCACAGUAAAUGGUUUUGCUUUCUUCUCUUACCUUCUUAUUAAACAAAUUUUAGUGUUUUUUUUGCACCUUACCUGUUUAAGUAUCAUUAUGACCCCCACCUCUUCUUUGAAUAAUCACUGCUGGUGUGAAAAUUACGAAAACUUGAUAAGGUUUUUUAGUACACAAAAUAUUCUCAUUAAUGUAGAAUUUAGUGUAAAUGACUUAGAGUUGGUUUUGGGAAUGUAGAACGUAACACUAAAACAGUGUAGAACUUAUACCAUUUUGGUGUCAUAGGUUAGAGAUGGUUUUAAGCACUUCUGAGACCAGCUAUACCAACAAAGAUACUCAAUGUUAUUGCUGCAGUAGUGAUCGAUGUUGAACAAGUAUAGCUGCUUUUAUAUGUUCUAAAAAAAUGAAAAAGGUUAUUUAUCUGUCGGUGCCCAUCUUAAAUUUGUAAGUUCAUGAAAUACAAUAAACAGAUUAGAAAUUUGAAACUGGGUUGUGGCACAUGGACUAUUUCUAAGCGAACCCUUGUAAAGCUGUAAAAAACUAGGAAGCCUUAUAUUAUGAAGUCACCAUCUGCAGAAUGUCAUAUAAUAGCUAAUUUAAAAUGACAUAUAAGUUGAGAUUUUGGCUUUUAACUUACCUAGAGAUUAUAUUAAGUUAACAAUUAUUUAAAUUUUAGGAAGUCGCAUUGGCAUGCUGUGUUAAUUAAUCGUGUUGGGAGACGAUUACUUUGACAGGCAACUUGAAAGGUCAUUGCUUAUGCCUGCUAGUCAGGUGGCUUUUACUUACCAUAGCAAAUGGGGCAUAUAACUGACAAAAAUAUACUUUCUCAUUGUUUUAGAAUUAUUGAAGCUCGGAUUUUGUCUGUUACAUUUAUUGACUCUCGUAUCUUUGGGAUUGCAGGUGUUAGAGUAUUUGAGGAUGUUGCUGGCGUUAAGGUAUCAAUUUAUAACUUGUUAAUAAUAUACAUGUCCAUUCCCUGCUCAACCAUACCCAACAUUGUAGAAUGUGGUAAACAUGACAAGGAAAACCCAGCCUUAAAGCAAAAAUGAAGACAUAGAAUCUAGUUGCAAACGGGUUAUGCCGAAAAUAUGGUUCAUUUUUGUUUGUGUUCCAGUGCAGUGGCAAUAAUAUUUGAUGUAACGACUUAUGAAUUUUCACGUGGAAGAAAAGAAAUAUGUAUUAUCAUUUAUACAUCAACCUUUUAGUCAAAUAGUCAGUUCCACUCUUAGUUUCUUUUUUGUCCGAUGAAAAGUUUUAUUAGAGGUAUGUAGCUAUGUAAGGAUAUUUGACAGAAAGAAAGUCGCGUAGCGCUCAGCGUUAGAGUUGCCUAAUGUAUAUCCGAUAUGAGAUGUCACAUUGUUCUAGGAGUUUUGAUGUUUGCACUUGCAGAGUGAAACUCUUAGCUUGUCGUCGUUAGAAUUUUAUCGAUAUAUAUGAUACACGUGCACAAGAAUUUCUAGAUCACAAUUUCAUUUCUUAAUUGCCUCUGGAUGUGAUUGAACUCUAUUUAACUGCUUUCAAAUGCUAUAGGAUGGUAAAGCAGUUCUUGUCAAAGCUGUUGGUGUUGUUGAUGCAAGUGCGGAUACUGUUUUUGAAGUGAUAUUUAACAUUGACCGACAAUGGAGAUACGAGUAUGUUGCUCAUUUUGGCAUAUGCGUGCGUGUGUGUGUGUGUUUAUAUAUAUAUAAUAUAUGUAUAAAUAUAAUUUUAUGCUAAUUUUGAUCUAAUUUGUAAGCGUUGCAGGUGGGAUGUACUGACAGUGGACUUGGAGCUGGUCGAUUCUUUGGAUGGACACUAUGAUAUUGUUUAUGGCACACUUGAUGCUGCAUAUCAGACUAGGUAAACUUGCUUAAGAUGCCUAAUAGCAUGUACUUAUAUGGUCCUCAUAUAAUUUUUCUAAUAUCCUGUCUUUUAAUUUUUGUUAAAAUCAAUUUCAAUUCAAUUCACAAGCCACCUUCAAGUUUAUCUCUUGCCAGUUUUAUGGCACAGUGGUGAAGUUAAAGAUAACUAUCACUUUUGAACUGAGAUAAACACUUGUUCAUGUACUGAAUGAUGUUUUAGGCUCAAAUUUUAGGUUAUUCUGUUUGACAUAUGUAAUGCUAACAAUAGGAUUCAAACGGCACUUAGUUGUGGCUGUAUGAUUUAAUGUAGCUGUUCCUGUUAUUUGAAGAGGAUAUAUGUGUUUGUUGGAGGCGUAAUCCAAUUGCACAUGUAAAAAAUUUCUUUUUGUGUCCUCCCAACAAGCACUUUUAUGGGCGUUAUAGCAACUCUAAACUCGUAUAUUAAUGGAAUCUUAUUUAUGCAUCUCUACAUAAUUAGUAAAACCAGAAACUAAUGCCAGACAUCUUAAAUCAAUAUAUUUACUCAUCAAGCAGAAAAAACCCUACAAACCAGAGUUUUAUUGUGGAGUUUGAAGUCGUAUAUAUACAUUACAAUGAAAGUCAAACCGUCAUUUCUGAGACUUGCAAUAUUUCCUCUUUCACUCUUGGUGUGUUCAGUGCAUAUAUUUGUAUUCCACUGUUUCCAUAAUCCUAUUGUUUCAAACAUUUUUAAUAGGUGGUCAUCCAAGAGUGAUAUUGUCUUCUCCAGACAAUGGUUUCGUGGACAAGAUGGAACUUAUAGUAAGCAACUCUAGCUCAAUAUAGUACCUAUUUUAUGCUUGAUAUUUUAUUGUGGACUUCUAUAAAUUCUUGGUGAAUAAGCUAUUGAGUGCUGAAAGAUGGUGGUGGGUCAGGAUUUUGUAUGUCAUGGCAAACAACAUUAUCAAAGGCUUUACUACACCGCCAAAACAGCAUUUGAUACUUCAUAUUAGUUGCACUUCAAAUGAUGUCAGAUUAGUGGUCAAUGGAGCUGAGAUUCUUUACAUAAUUCAUUUGACAUGUAUCAAAGUGGGUUAAACUGUACCUUUUGAGAUGCCAAACAUGUCUUUUGACCCAUUUACUAUAGUUUGUCUCAGAAUCAUAUUUAUGUAGCCCAACUUUUGGAGAGGUGGCAAAUGCAACAUAUAACUAGCAAAAGUCAGUUUCUAAGUUUCGGUUUAAAUAACAAUAGUUUUCUCACCAAAUGCAUGUGGAUUUCCCUCUACAAAUUGAGACCUUAGUAUAUAAUCCAAUCCAUCUCACAUCCUUACGUCCAUUAUCCUUAUUAAGGUUUAAGUACUCUAAAAAAUAGAUUCCUCAUCAGUGUCAUGCAAUUCGCUCACAUUAGACUUGGUUUUGUCCAAUAAAAUUUGAUGUGGGCUGAUCGACCAUAGUCUUGUAAAUUUUGGCAGUGCCUUACUAAGGUACUUAUUUUCUGUGGUGAAAGAGAGGGUACUAAUUAAGUACAAAUAUAUCUCUGUAAGUACUGAAUUUGGCGUAUGGAUUGAGCUGACUGUUGACAUUAUUAUAUUCUUUGAUAUCAUAUUGUCUCAAAUUACACAGGCUGGCUAGUCUUUUGUGAUUGAUGAAAAUUGUGCCUAUGUUGUUGCAGCAAUAUUGCAUUUCCCGGCUAUGCAUAAGAAGUGUCCCAAAAAACCGGGUUAUCGGCGCAUAAAAAUUAACCGUAAGAAACUUUUUUUGCUAAUUUGUUUUGUAUAUUUAGCUUUAUUAUUUAUUUUUUAUUUAGUGACAUGCCGCUUCCCAUUAAACCAUGCCGUCUACGUUUUAGCUCUUACAAAGAUACUCGUGAGAUAGUCAUGCUUCAUGUUUAGAAGUAUAAUUAAUAACAUAGGGUCAUGUUCACAUAUUAUACUUAUAAAGAUAAAGAUUUAUUAUAUAUAGGGGGCUGAGUUUGAUCAGCCAUCACCAUCAUCCAACGGUUGGUAUAAAAUAUUUUUUCUCCCUCCAACCUGCUAAGAAUUAUAGCUAGAAGAGAAAGUGUCUUAGAGCUAUAUUUUUGAGCUGGUAGGGGGAAGAAAAAAUAAUACCUUCCCAGCCGUUGGAUCGUGCAAUGGUUGGUUAAACUCUCCCUGGCCAUCAAUGGCCAAGGGACCACGCGCACACACACACACACACACACACAUAUAUAUAUAUAUGUAAAUAUUAUGUUAUGCUAUUACCAAUACUUAUUACUAAUUAUGAUAAAGUUGUGGAUUUCCGAAUCAAAAUCUCAAUGGAAGAAAGGUUGUGCAGUGCACUUCUAUUCGAUGAAGCAUGUGCAUCACUCUGCACUUGGGACCGAAAGGUCCUUUGUGCUAUUUUGUACUAUACAGAGUGAUCACUGCCUUUAUUAGUAAGAUCUUACCACUAAACAAUGAAUCCUGGAACAGAAGAAGGGACUUGGACAACGAGCCCUGUUUAUGUACAAAUUAGAUUCGUUCCUGGACUUUCAUGAUAUUUUGUCUGCCUUAACACACAUUAAAUUGCGUAAUUCUACAAAUAUUAGUAGUGUUUCUAGUAUAGUAUGGAUGCUACAAACUUUAACUUUUCUACAUUAUUUUUAUGUAGCUUCUACCUGGGAGAUAAGAACUUUAAAUACCACAGCAGGCGAUGCCAAGUGUCUUGUAACACAUAUGUUGGAGGUUGAUUCUAAAGUCUGGCGUGGUUGGAAGAAAAAUCAAAGAUCGAAGUUUGAAAAAACUGUUCCCUAUGCAUUAUUGAGUCAAGUUGCAGGUUGGUGAAGCACAUUUCGUCUUUACACUUCUUUGUAUUCUAGGAAAUAGAGGGAUGUGUUUCUUGUUCAAUGUGAUAUUUUUAUUUAUUAUUUGAUAAACUUAUACUAUUACAAGACAAACUACCCUUGGCAGAAGUAUUGAUAUAGGAAAAAAUAUUUUGUAUAGAAUGGUGGUAUAUAUGUAGGAAGAAAAUAUAACCUGCCACAAAAGAAAGAAAAAUAGAAAGUGCUAGAAAAGAUAAUAAAAUGUCAAAAAAAAAAAAAAACUUUAGAGGCUAAAGAUUUUUUUUUUCUUUUAAUAUUUGGGAAUAAAAUUAUCUUAACCCAGAAACAAGCAAUUUGAAUAUAUGUAGAUGAAUAAUUAUCCGUGAGCUGAAAAGAAAAUGAAAGCAGCCAGAAAUGAAUGAAAGAAGAAAUAUUUUGUGAAGACCAAGAGGAUAGUUGGGCGUCGCCUUAGAACUCCCAGAACGCCAAAAGCCAUCGCCUAGUCUGCUAAAUUGAAGGAUCCGCCUAGUUGACGCCUUGACAAAAAUGGAAGAACAUGAGUGAAAAAUUUGGACUUAUAGGUAUUGACAUACAUGUAUUGUCUGGCCUGGGGAUCAGGGACCCUAACAUGUGGGGAACACGGGAAAAAGCUUUUCAGCUAUCCGGCAAGGAUGCUUGCCUGAUCCUCUUUACCCUCAAUUUUUUUCAUUAAGUGAAAAUUUAAGAUUUGAAAUUUGAAUUAAGAGUAUGAUAAAUGGCCAAAAAUCUGUACUUGCAUAGGAGAAAGAUUUUAGAAUAUUGCUGAGGAAUCAGAUGUAGGUAUUGUAGCUUGCAAGUGAGAAGGGUGUAGUUUCUAGCAGAAAUGCAGAACUGCACAUUCUUCACAAUCAUAUUGGUAUUUUUAUUGAUGAAAGUAGCUACUAGUAUUCCAAAAUAUUUAAUUGACGAAAAUGCACACUAACUUGAUUAUGUUACAUGAAAGUUGUUAUUCGAUCUGAUUACGCUUCUCGCAUCCUUAUAUGUUUUAUUAUGUAUCAUUUAGGUCUCAAGGCAUACAUUGGUGCAAACCCCGGAUUUAGUAAUGAAUCAUCCAGUACGUUUCUAUGCUCGAAAAGUUCCGAUUACUCUACAUCAGAUGGUGAAUUCGUGGAUGCAGCAGAAGCUACGGAUGAAUUCUAUGAUGCUUUAUCUUCUGACUCAUCGUCAUCUGAAGAGGAUAGUGAUAAAGAAGUGGAAUCUGAUAGUAAGGUAUUUUUUUCAUCCAUUGAGAUAGCAAGCUUUGUACUUUUAGACUGUUUGCAUUAGUAGAUAUUCUGCUACCCAGUGCAUGUGGUAUUUGUGAGACUAGUAAAUAAUUUAUAAACCAAAGAUAAUAAGUUUACUAACCAAACAUAUGCGAUAUGAAACCGAAGUGAAGAAUAUAUAUAUAUAUAUAUAUAUAUAUAUAUAUAUGUUCAUUAUCAUAUAUAUAUAUAUAUAUAUAUAUAUUUAGUAAUAAAUAGUAUAUUUAUCUAUAUGGUUUAUAUGUGGGGCAAGUACUUUAAAAAAACAUUAAAGUAUUAUUUACAGUAAGCUAAAGCUCGAAGGGCCCAAGUCCACUAGGUUAUUUCAUUAGGGUUUAUUCCUUAUAUAAGCGAUGUAUCCCACAUAUCAUAAUAUCAUUGGAAUAAUAUAGUACUAUCAAACCGGGUCUCCUUCCUGUUCAUGGGAUUUGGUCUAUAGGAUUUCUGCCUUUCUCGGUUGGAAAUUUCUGGGAAUAGUUGAUUUUCUGAGGUUUUUCACGUUAAGUUAUCUUUGUUGUCUUUUUGUUUCAUAUAUUCAUUGCUUCUCAAAGUUUUCCUGCAUCAAUAUGGUAUCGCAAGUAUAAUUCUGUAAAUUUAACAUAUAAUGUUCAAGAAAUCAGAUGCAUUUACCUCUUUAACAACCUGGUGAGUGAUUGGAAUUGUAAUACUGUGAUUCUCUUUUUCCUCCCACUCUUUUUUACAGUGAACUGUCUGGAUUCUCAGACUUGGUUAACGUAUUAGCUUAAAUAUUUCCCAAUACCAAUCUUUAUUUCCAUUGGUGGUAAUCUGAUAUUUCUAAUUGAGUUGUGAACUUGGUCUGAAUAUUCUAUCAGGUGAGAAAAAUAAAGCUGAAGAACGUGUCUUGGGCUAUUGCUGGCUUCUCGAGGAAGCGAACUGCAGGUACCUGACACCUACACGUCAUGACUACAGAAAAUACCAGGAGUCCAUGACUACCAGAACCAGAUAUCUCUUAUUGCACCUGGUUGGCUUCUUAUUAUUUCUAUUAUAACUUCUUUGAUGGACUGUGUUUAUCUGUUCUUUGUGCAGAUCCAUUCGCCAGUAAGGAGUUUGAUACAAGUGUGGAUCCGGUUGCUUUAGAUCCUACCCAAUACAAAGGUUCGAUGCGCCAGGCGAAGGAUGGGGCUGACAGUGAUUGCUGGGCAUCUCCAGAUGGUGCUGACUUUAAGAUCAGAGGAAAGACGUAUUUAAAGGAUAAUACUAAGGUGGAUCCAUCUCCCAAACAAUUACACUACCUGAUGUCUUUCAUCUGUACUAUUAUAUAUGAUCAAAGCAAGACCUAACACCGUCAGUUCUUAUCUGCUCCCAAGGUUUUGGAAAUUAUUAUUAUAUAAUAUUUGAAUGACAAAGAGCAAAUAUAUAGGCAGUGGCGGAGCCAGAAUAUGAAUAUAGUGUGGGCCAAAAAAAAAAACCUUGAGCAAAAUUCUAUCAUGACAAUAUAUUGUCAUGAUUUAACAGAAAUUGGUCACAUUUUUCUAUUCAGGCUAAACCUUUAUUCCAGAAAACAAAUACAUUCAUAUAGUUUGUAUAAGCAGUGAACACUGUACAUACUUUAUCUUCAACUAUCUAUGAUCGGGUUAAAUAUCACAUACAGUACUCGUUCGGUUCAAAUGUAUCAAGUGAGUCACUCGUUACAAAUGUGACUCAACAUGGUCACUAAAGUGAAAAUUUCUAUCAACUUGGUCAUUAAAAGCUUUAAGUUUUGUAUCAAUUUAGUCAAUGACAGAUGGUGUCCUUGAUUCAAAUCCGUUGUUGGGCUAGCGCUCUAUAAUCUAUUUAUGGGCUGGGCUUUGCGCGCCUAUACUUGCCUCCGCCCAUGUAUAGACAUUUACCAGUUCCUUAAGAACAAAUUGGUAGGGUUUUUAAGCUCUGAAAAGUCUAAAUAUUUUUACAUAAGGUUUGUAUAUAGGUCUAUUUACCAGUUCCUUAAGAACAAAUUGAUAGGGUUUUUAAGCUCUGAAAAGUAAGGUUUCUUUUGUAAUUGUCAAGUAAAUGUUUUUUUUUUGGUGAUCAUUUAUCAUCUUUAUUAUGAUUUUUAUUCUUGUAGUCUAGUUUCUACUUCUUAGAUAUCACUCGACUUCAUCUAAGUUAUGUGUACUGUUUCCAGAUUGCAGGAGGAGAACCCCUUCUUAAACUUAUAGCCGUCGACUGGUUAAAGGGUGAUAGUUGCAUCAAUAACAUUGCAUUACAUUCCAGUUGUCUUGUUCAGGUAAUUGAAAUGCUUGCAUUCAUCAUUUUUAUGUUCAAUGUGAGACAAUUAUUAGAUAAUUCAACACGUUUAUGACAUAUGGAAGUGCUGGUAAAAUCAGUUUUGCCGCUCCUGUCCACAGUUAUUUUUUAAAAUUAUAUUCCAUGUUCUGUGAUCUUCGUACCUCCUUCUUUGAUCCUGAUACUGGGUGAACAUGGGUUAAUUGAUUUGGUUUGAUGACCUAUGAACUUGACCGACUUCCGUAUAUUUAUAUUGCUAAACACAUAGGGUUGUUUCUAUUUUAUUUAGUUUCUGAAUUGCUUCACCCUCAACCUUAACAGUUCAUAGAAGGGUACACACAUCCGUUUUUAUAAGGGAUUUGCAAGAAGCCAAGCAAUUACUUGUAAGCCGUACCCAUGGGUCUAGAGUACCUCAGGAUUAUCUGUUACAAGCUGUCUUGUACUUUUACUAAGCAUAGGUUCCUCUCAGUAUUAUUUUUAACUUAUUUGUAAAUAAGGUAAGCCAGCUGAAAUGCAAAACAUCUAAAUGUGUAUGAGAUUGUUUUGGGAACUAAUUGCCAAAUUUGUUACACUUAAAUAUGUAUUGUAUUCUUUUAUCAGAAGCUUCUUUUGUUUCAAAUCAAACCACCUUUCCCUCCUUGUUCUUAAAUUGAGAUUUCCAGACCCUUGGGUGAAAAACGCUGGCAAAAAUUCCGGGGCCUUGAUUUUGCUGUCAAGUACUUCAGUUACAUUCUGCAUUUCCUUACUUAGUUUGAACUUUCUUUGUAUUGCAAAUUUUUUACAUUUACAUAUUUUCCGUGUUAUCUUCAUUACUUGGUAACAUUAUCAUGUUCCUUGAAAAUUGAAGUACACUUAAUGUAUAUUACGCUUCUGACAUUGCUUUGAUGGCUUUUUCCUUUCUUAAGUUGACUUUUGCUGUAUCUUAUUCCAAUUUUUAUAUGCAGUCCGAAGCUGGCAAAAAACUCCCGUUCAUUCUUGUUAUUAAUCUGCAGGUAUGAAGUUAUUUAUUGGUCUCCUGUCAUUUAUUUGAGAUGUCUAACAUGUUCUCAGACUUGUAUUUUAUUUUUCAUUAUGUUGUAAUAUGCUAUCAAAAUAUGCUUAAUCUUUGUAAUUGAAGCGGGGCAAGGACCAAGGUGCAUAAGAUGGACCUACCAGAUGUGUAUCUAUCAUGAACUUCUUAACUUACCUAUUAAAUCUGAAGCUUCUAUUUAAACGUAGAACAGGAACGACAUUAUUUGCUUAGGAGUCUAUAUUGACUUACAUUCUAACAUGAUUAGAUGUACCCUAGGAAUUUGUACUAAAUUUUGUUGGCAAGUUCCUGUACUAAUUACAAUCUACAAAUGAACAAGUAUAUCAAGAUAUAUCUCCUACUUGAGAAUUACAGAUUGUGGGUGAAUUGGUAAUAGUAUUCAACUAUACAUGGUUCUUAAUAGGCUUAAGUUGUUUAAUUUACUAUCUCAGUAAAGAAACAGUUCUUCAUAGUCUUAAUUUGUAUAAUGUGAUUAUCUCAAAUAAGGAGAGUUAAAUGUUAAUUACCAAUAAAAAAUUAGUUCGUGGGUUACAACUGGUUUGUAGUGAAUAAAUUGAAAAACAUUGUAGCAUCUUAUUGGGGAGGCAGAACUGAUCUAUUUUUUAGUUGAUUUUGGUUGGUGUUUCUGUUUCACCUUAAUACUAUUUCAUGUAUUUUUGAGGUUUUUUGGAUGGACAUUAAUGAUAUGGGGAUUUUAUGAUGUCGUUUAUUUUUCAAUUAAUUGUUCUUUCCCCAAUAAAACUAGAAAAAUCACCAAAAAAUAUAACAUAUUGGAGAACCAGAAUGAUAUGCCAGUUAUCCUGUCAGGGCGGUUGGUGUUUUUCUUGACAGUCUUCUCUUAUAUAUGAGCAUGAGCUACUGUGGAAGGGAAGUAACGUUGAGGUUUUUCUGCCGUCAUUAUGUUGUAUAUUUUUCAGUAUGAAAGAAAUAUUUUUGCUUAUUUUAGGUUCCUGCUAAACCAAACUACAGUCUGGUACUCUACUAUGCUGCCAACAGGCCUGUAAAUGGAAGUUCAUUGCUGGGUCAAUUUGUGAAUGGGACGGACUUGUUUCGUGAUUCAAGAUUCAAACUCAUCCCAAGUAUAAAAGAGGUAACAGAAACAUUUUAAACCACGACUAUCUAUAUUACAUAAGUUAAAUUGCACUUGCAAAACACAAAAAAAUUUGAACUUAAGAUCAAUUACUAUAUACUCCAAAUAAUUUAUUAAAUUAUGACGAAAGUAUCAUACUGGUUGAUUAAACCACAAUGAGUAAUACAUAAAAAAUUUCUUAUCUCCUUGUUUUGUUUCAACAUAUAACAUUAGUCUGACAUUAUAUUUCUAGUAUUGAGGAUUGCAGUUUUGUUUGUUUCUCUGCGUGAAUAUUAUGCAUUCUAUUGUGCUAAUUGUGUGUUUUAUUGACAGGGAUAUUGGAUGGUCAAGCGUGCAGUUGGAACAAAAGCUUGUCUGUUGGGAAAAGCAGUGACAUGCAAUUACCUUAGACAGGACAACUUUUUGGAGGUAGUAAACCGAAGCAUUGUUAUUGUUGCCAUGUUUAUUUCCCAGAAAUUGAUUGAAUUAUUGGUCUACCCAAAUAGCUUGGUUUACCAGAUUUUGUUGGGAAAGAAAAUAAUCAAUUUGUUAUCUCAAUUUUUGCCUGUCUCUUGACCUUAUCCUAUAUGCUGAAGUACAUCGUUGAUAUAAAUGCUUGCUCAUUUUCAUUUGGCAAACUAAUAUUCCGCCCAGCAUUGAGAUGUUUGCUAGUAUUUGUAAGUUGAUUAAUAUUUAUAUUACUGACAUUUUAUGUGCAGAUUGAUGUUGAUAUUGGCUCAUCAUCUGUUGCAAGGAGCAUCAUUGGUCUGGUGCUUGGAUAUGUAACAAGUAUCGUAGUGGAUCUUGCAAUACUAAUAGAGGUCUAUAUCUUGUUUUCUUGUGGUUAUUUACCUCUAAGCAAUCAUUGUCUAUUGCUCAUAAAUGGUUAUCAUGUGCUCUUCUCGUAAAAUGGAUGUGUUCUUUUUGAUGACUUUGGAGAUUUGUGCCUGUUGUAGGAUAUGAUGGGAGUAUAAAAGAUUUUGUUUUCUUACUAAGAUUGUGAUACCCUCAUGGAGUUAUUAUAAAUUUUCAUCCUUCCACAAAGAUUCAUAGAGCAACUUAAGAGUGGUUGCUGAUGUAGGACAAAAUUAAAAAUAGGUUAGGACUAUACUAAUUGAGGAGUUAAUAAAUGAGAGAACUGCAUCGAUUAAUAGUGCUAUUUAAGGGUGUUCUUAUAGAGCCCAAGUUUCUCACUUCUCAGGGAGUAGAAGGUGUGGAAUUUGAAGUUUUGCAAAGGAGCAAGAAGAGCAGAGUAUAAAUGAGAGAACUGCAUCGAUUAAUAGUGCUAUUUAAGGGUGUUCUUAUAGAGCACAAGUUUCUCACUUCUCAGGGAGUAGAAGGUGUGGAAUUUGAAGUUUUGCAAAGGAGCAAGAAGAGCAGAGUAUUAAUUUUGAGAUGAAACAGUAAUGGUAUGACUAGGUUAGGUUGAAUAAUGAUUUAAGAGUGUUAAGUGAAAAUGGUAAUACUUAGUUAAGUAGAUAAUGAGCUGGCAAGGUUUGAAAAAUAGGUUAAUUUUAAGUAAGUAAAUGAGAGAACUGGCAUGGUUUUAUAAAUUAACUUGGCUGUUAAGGAGUGGUCCUCUGUAAGAAAACAGAACUGGUAGGUAGCGGAAUAAAGUACAAUGUAAAAAUGAAGCUAUUGAAAGGAACAAGAAAGAGCUUUAUUGUAUUCAUUGCAAGUCCAUGAUUAUCUGUGCACAAGCCACAAUUGUUCGUUCCAUGGUCGUAGUAGAUGGAAAAUAUUGUUCUCUGGGUUUUCUGUUUUUAGGUAGGAAUUGGCUCAUUAUUGAUGUUGUUAAAUACAUAUAACAGUCUAGAACUAUAAACUGUAGUAGAGGUUAAAUUAAUGUAAAAACGUAUAUUGGUCUUGGGAAUGAAUCAGCCAGCACCUGGUUUCUUAUGCCGCUCUUCAUAACUUGCUUGAGUUGAUAAUCUUACACAAAUGAAGUCAAAUUGCCUUGUAAUACGCAUAGCAAAAAAAAAAAUGCUUUGUAAAUUGUAAUAAUAUGUUCUCCUUUUUGUUCUUUUUCAUGUUGGGUGUUUGCCUUGGGUAAAUUAUACAUUUGUUCAGCCGCUCACAGCAUGCACACUUAUAUUGCCUCUUUUUUCCACCUGAUUUAUUAUUUUUGCAGGGAAAAGAAGAGAAUGAACUUCCAGAAUACAUUCUUGGCACUGUUAGGCUUAACCGUGUGAAACCUGAGUCUGCUGUGCCUUUCAGUGUAUAGACUCAUCUUUAGAUAAAAAUAUAUUCAGUACAGCUCUAGUCCAACAAAAGCCCUAUUGCAGUUUUGUGCCUUUCAGUGUAUAGACUCAUCUUUAGAUAAAAAUAUAUUCAGUACAGCUAUAGUCCAACAAAAGCCCUAUUGCAGUUUUGUGCCUUUCAGUGUAUAGACUCAUCUUUAGAUAAAAAUAUAUUCAGUACAGCUCUAGUCCAACAAAAGCCCUAUUGCAGUUUUGCGACUGUAGUACAUAUGAGAAACUACAGAUUUUAAUGUGAAAAUUAGUUAUGUAAAUUAUGUACAAUCCAGCAUUAGUUCUUACAAUUUCUCCGCAGUGAGAAGCUUGUAAUUUACAAUUUUUUAAAUACAUACUGUAGAAGAGUUUUAAAAAUCACAGAGCAAGUUAGAUGAUGUUAACUGUGUUUUCUGGUGUUCUAAAUGUAUGAUGCUUAAUGUUGUAUAUAGCAGGUAAAUAUUUCAACUCAAAUAUUUCUUCACGGAGUUUAAAUAAAUACGAUUUUAAUGAUCUUAUACAUCUUAUACAGUGACUUAAAAAAUUAUAAUUUCUUUUGAUACAAGUUGAAUAAAACAUUUUAAUUUUGUGUAUCUAUUAACAGCCAGGUGCUCUGAAUUUGUGAUCAGUGAUAUGAUUUAAAAAAUUAAUAUUUUAGGCACCUUGCUUGCAAAUUAUUGAAGGUGGUCUAAUUCGUUGACCAUAUAAUAAUUGUAUUAAGAGUGCUUGAGCUCGUGUAAAACUCCAAUGGUCACGAAGAAGUAUAUUUUUCAGUUAAAUGCCAGAUUCUAGCUCCUAUUGGAAAUUUAAUGGUCCAAAUCUUUUUUAUAUGGAGAAAGACCAUACUUCAAAUACAUUUUCAUUUGUAUUGUUUACAAUAGAAAAAUUCAUGAAUUUGUAUAAUAAAAUGAUUUUUACAACUUUAACAAAGAUGAACUCAAUUAUUCUCUCUGUUCCCUUCGAAUUUAAAAUGUCACUCGAUUUGUUCUUAUUUCUCUCCAAAUCAAAUUUAAAAAGAAAACAAACAAACAAUUUUUUUAUUUGCCAGAUAAUCCAAGGGAGAAUCUGGGCCUUCUAAAACCAACAACACAACAUGGGCUGGGAUCUCAACUAGCCCACAAUAAUCUCCCGCCAAAUCUUUCCCGCGCUCACCCCCAUAUUUUCACAAAGAGGGUCCUUCACUUCAGCUGCCGCUAAGUGUAAACUUAGAGAGAGAAACCACAGUAGAGAGAGAAACAAGUGGAGAUUGAAAAAUGUCUGGAUGGGAUGAAGGAGCCGUGUACUACAGCGACCAAGCUCAGUUCCCCCGCGGCGCCGGCGAUCCGGAACAGGCGGCGAGUCGCCACACGGUGCUCCGAAAGUUCAAGGAGUUCAUUCGAAACUUCGCGCAUCAAAAUCAACCUAAUGUGUUUCCGUACAGAGAGAGCCUUGUUCAAAACCCUAAGUUCCUUCUCGUUAAUCUCUCCGAUCUUCUCAAUUACGAUAAAGACCAGGAUCUCCGUGAUCUUCUCCGUAAAAACCCGGCCGAUUACCUUCCCCUGGUAUUAACAUUUUCUAAAUCCCUCUAUUGAUUAUUAGUCUCGGGGACCGGAGAAUUUUAUUCAUUUAUCCAGCUUCUAGUUUAGUUGUGCUGAUGUGGAUAUUGACAUUUUUUUUGAUUAUCUAGAUUAUAUAUUUAUAUUUGAGAGAUAAAGUGCAUAUGACAUUAAGAAGCAAUUAGUUCCUCUUUUUUUUUUUGUGUGUGUGAAAGUUAUGUGAUUUUGUGAAUUAUGUGUAGUUUGAGACGGCUGCUGCUGAAGUUUUGGCAAGUUUGAGGUCUAGGGUUGCUGGUGAGACUGGGGAAAUGGAGGAGCCUGAGACUGGGGAGGUGCAGAUCUUUUUGACAUCAGAGGAGGAUCCGGUGUCAAUGCGUUUGUUAGGGGUUAGUUUAGUUAUUUUUUUAGUUGUGUGGUGUUUUGCUGUUAUGAGUUUAUAUUCUGAUUUUUUAAUUAGUUAUUUAUGUCUAAUGCUAGGCACAAUACAUAUCAAAAUUGGUUAAGAUAUCUGGGAUCACUAUUGCUGCGUCAAGGACUAAAGCAAAGGCAACUUAUGUGACUUUAUUGUGUAAAAACUGUAAGAAUGUAAAAGUGAUUCCUUGCCGUCCUGGCCUUGGAGGGGCAAUUGUGCCACGUUCAUGUGACCAUGUGCCUCAGGUGUUGUUUUCAUUGAUUUGAUUCUGAAAGUAUUUGUUAUUGGUGCUUUUGUAAGAGUGUUAACUAAAUAUAUUGCAGGCUGGAGAAGAACCAUGCCCUAUUGAUCCUUGGAUUGUAGUUCCAGAUAAAAGCAAGUAUGUUGAUCAGCAGACUUUGAAAUUACAAGAAAAUCCCGAGGUGAGAGUUAAAAUUGUUCAGAGUAAACUCACAUACAUUAACUCGUAGAUUUAUGUGCUCACAAUUUAGUACCGUUGGUAUGGAUAGGAUGUACCUACUGGUGAACUACCAAGGAACAUGCUUCUUUCAGUCGACCGGCAUCUGGUGCAAACCAUUGUUCCAGGCACAAGAUUGACGAUAAUGGGUAUUUAUAGUAUCUUUCAAGCUGCCAAUUCAUCAUCAUCGUAUGUCUCUGUUUUCACUAUCAUUUAUUUCAAUUUUACUUCUGUUUAUAAUUUACAGAAAAUUGUAAAUUUUAUGUGUAAUUAGCACUAGAUUGUUUAAUAUUUCAUUUGUAUGAUAUCGUUGAAUUUUUAUGCAGCCACAAAGGAGCAGUUGCAGUUAGACAGCCUUAUAUAAGGGUUGUGGGAAUAGAACAAACAAGUGAAGCUAAUUCUCGGGGGCCUACCAAUUUCUCUGUAGAUGAGGUAGUUAUUAUGAAUAUUAUAUACUAUGCCGACGUUAGUUUGUUGAUUUCUUUUUAUACAGUAGCAUAGGCUGAGCUUUUGAGACGUUUUGGAUAGUACUAUGCUAAUACUUUUCAUUGGGUCAAUUUUGCACCUUCCUCAUCUUCUAUUAUUAUAAGUCGUUGCAUAAAAUUAUAAAAAACGUUAAUAAGUUUUAAUUAGUAUUUUUUUAAAUAAUUAUAAGAUAGAGCUGCCAGUGGUAGCUUUGUUACUGAACUAUUGGCAUUAUUUAGAUUUUUUUCAUAAUGCUCUAGUUGAUGAUCGAUUUGUUGUUGGCUGAAAAAAAACUGAUUGAGGUGGCCGUGUUAUAAUAAUUAAAAUUUUGAUAAUAUUUUAUUUUUUUUGAAAUUCUUUAAAUAUUGUCUUCCAUUGAGAUAUGAAUUUCUUAUCCUUCCAUAUCCAAUUUCUGAAUUCUUAAUUAAACUUCUUUGACGCAAUAGAGAGUCCAAGGUGCAAAAAAUGUUCAAUAGGCUUCUAUAGUGCUGUAGGGUAGCGAACCUGUAAUACAUAGGACAUAAUGAUAAAACUAGAAUUAUCACCAUAGCCAUUUUGAACAUAAUAUUACUAACAUCCUGGACAAGGGUUCCCACGCCCCCCCCCCCCCCCCCACNNNNNNNNNNNNNNNNNNNNNNNNNNNNNNNNNNNNNNNNNNNNNNNNNNNNNNNNNNNNNNNNNNNNNNNNNNNNNNNNNNNNNNNNNNNNNNNNNNNNNNNNNNNNNNNNNNNNNNNNNNNNCCCCCCCCCCCCCCCCCCCCGUCUCGUGGUGGUCUAGAUGAUACUCAUUAUCUGAAAGUGGAGCACAUCAUAUCUUGUUGUGUUUGGCGUUUCCAUUUCUUACAUGGCUCUGUCAAUUCCAGAUAGAAGAAUUCAAGAAGUUUGCUUCAGAAGGUGACCCAUAUGAAAAAGUAUGCUCCAAGAUUGCUCCCUCUAUAUUUGGCCACGUUGAUGUGAAAAAAGCUGUGGCCUGUCUCUUGUUUGGUGGAUCAAGGAAGGUAAUUUUGCAGUUUUGACGGUUGAAAUUUACCUUGUUACUUGUCAGAAAAAACUAAUGAUAUACUACAAGUGACAAUUGUUCGUAUUAACUAAUUGCCUCUGUCAAUUCAGGUUUUGCCUGAUGGUGUUAAGUUAAGAGGGGAUAUAAAUGUGUUGCUUCUGGGGGAUCCAUCUACUGCUAAGUCACAGGUCUGGUUACAAUUUAUGAUACAUAUUGCUUUAAAAUUCAUAGUUGGAGGCUUGUAGCCUUCUACAUACAUAAGAUUACAUGAAUUUUACAUAUUUAAAAGAACUUAAAAUUUUAUAGCCAUGCAUAUAAAGUUAAUAUUCCUGGUAUUUUUUAAUGUAGUUUCUUAAGUUUGUUGAAAAAACGGCUCCUGUAGCUGUAUAUACAUCUGGAAAAGGUUCCUCAGCUGCUGGUCUUACAGCCUCCGUAAUUCAAGAUAGCAGUUCUGUAAGUUUGUGUACUAGCUUAUGCAUAAUUCGCCGUGCUGUUUCACUUUAUCUAUUUUGUUGUUAACUAUAUGAUUUUUUUUAAAUAAUUAAAUACAGCGCGAAUUUUAUUUGGAAGGAGGGGCCAUGGUUUUGGCAGAUGGUGGAGUUGUCUGCAUCGAUGAAUUUGACAAAAUGAGGGCGGAAGACAGGUGCUCUAUUAUUAAGUUCUAAUUUGAUGGCUCCUUUUCAUUUUAUGUUUUAUUUAAUACUUUGUACAUGUGGCUCAGGGUUGCCAUUCAUGAGGCCAUGGAACAGCAAACCAUUUCCAUUGCCAAAGCUGGUAUAACAACAGUACUGAAUUCUAGAACAUCUGUACUUGCAGCAGCAAACCCUCCAUCAGGACGUUAUGAUGACCUAAAGGUUUGUAUGAUUAUUAUUGUUCUAAAAACUUAUCUCUUCUCUUUUGUGCUGCUUAUAUUAACAAGUUCAACUUCCAGACUGCACAGGAUAACAUUGACCUACAGACAACAAUUCUUUCAAGAUUUGAUUUGAUAUUUAUUGUGAAGGACAUCAGGAUGUACAGCCAAGACAAGGUACGAAAUUUAUGUUUUUUAGCCCUUUUUCUUUUGAGGUCAUUGUGAUUCAGUACCUUCCAAGUUUGAGGGUAACGUUUAUAAUCCUUACCUGCUUAGUUCCUGCAAAUGCACCUUACUUUUAAGAAGGCAGUGUGUCUCGGGUACAUAAAAAUCCAUCUAAUUUUUGUUUUAUUUAUACAGAAUAUAGCUAGCCAUAUCAUCAAACUUCACGCAUCUGCUAAUGCAGUCACAGGAGACACUAAAACUUCUAAAGAAGAUAACUGGUUAAAGAGGUGCACAGCACUAUUUUUCUUCAUAUUUUAUUAUAUUUGUACAAGCUACUUGGUUGAAUCAAACUUGGUUGCUAAUUUGGAGGUACAAUAACCAGGUAUAUUCAGUACUGCCGGACUGUAUGUCGUCCUCGCCUAUCUGAUUCAGCAGCCACAUUGCUGCAGGAGAGUUAUGUUAAAAUUAGACAGGUACACUAUUAAAAGUAUCAGGCUAGAUAUAUGUUGAACUGCGGGAUUAUUUAAUUAGUCUAUUUACUUCACUCAAUCUAUACAUUGAUAGUUUUAUACAUCGAUAUAUGUUUUAGCUUGUUGUUAAUAUGGUUCAACAAAGUUUUGGGUUUGAGUGCUCCUACCCCCAAUAUGAUCAAUAAUUUUUGUAGUCUUGUCUGUCUGUGAACAAUUUUGUAAGGUUGAUAAACAGUUCUUGCUUUUUUUUCUUUUGAAAAUGUUUUGGGUUCAAAGUUUUGUUAAUUUGUGUACUGGUAUCGUGUUAAUAUGUGGAUGUUAACAAUAUUUUUUGUUGUCCUUUUGCCUUGGGAAUCAGGAUUCAUCAUUCCCAUUGUAUAAUUGUUGGAUUUUUGUUUGAAGUAGUAAAAUCAUCUGCUUACCAAAAUAUAAUUGUAGAUGGAAUAAAUAACUAGCAACUGGGAAUAUGUAUACAAAUAGGCUGUAAUCCAUCAAAAUUUGAGCGGCGAUGCUCUUCUGAAUUGGCUUCACCUAUAAUAUUUGUGGCAACUGUUGAUAAAAUUGCUUGUUACAUUCCAUCCAGAAAAUGUCCCCUCUGUUUUAUUGGUGAUGAUACCGUACAAUGUCUUUGAAUUGAUUUCAUUACUGCUAUCACAUUAACAGAAGUAGUCUGUGUGCAUCGAAUUAGUUCAGGAUUUCACUUUUGAGCCCCAGUGGUUGUUCUUUUAAGUUUACAAGUGCACAAAAUGAAAGGAGUGGCGAGAGAUUGAUCCUUAAUCCAAUUUUGUUAUGGAACAAGUUCCCUGUAUAUAAUGAUUUUCCUAAAAUAUUUGUAGGAUAUGAGGCGACAAGCUAAUGAAAAUGGAGAAACUGCAGCAGUUCCAAUUACAGUGAGACAGCUGGAAGCUAUAGUGAGAUUGAGCGAGUCACUUGCAAAGAUGCAACUGUAAGUUCAUGACAAGGUUCUUUUCAUCUUUAUAUUAUUAAAGAAAUUUGAAGAAAGAAUAUCUAUCAAAGUAUUGUGUUACCCAUUCCAGUAUCAUGGCGUUUGAAGUUUUGUAAUCUUUGGAAAAAUACAAAAGAACUGGGACUUAGUUAAUGAUACUAAAUGUAUAGAUAUCAUUACCUACAAGUUAUCUGUUAGGUUUUGACAUAGACACUAGCAACGGUUAAGGGUUACACUGAACAGUAUUGACAGAAAAUUGUGGAAAUUAGCCACUCUAAGUUAUGAAAAUAUCCAAUUUUCAUUGCUAUUUAAGCAAUGUAUUUUUUUUUCCCUUUUUCCCCCUUAGUUUUUGCCAUGUUGAGAUUAUUAUUAGCCUGCAUGACUAAUGCAGCAAUAAGAGAUUCUUACGUUGACAGCUGACAAUCGCGUGACAAACUAUUUGAUUAACUUAAUUGUUGACGAACAUACUUCAACUAUAGUUGAAUUUGAUACGAUACAAAGUUUCAAGGAUACAUUGCUCUGUAUUAAAACAUAUAUUUUUACUCCUUAAUUUGGCUACAUUGUGAAUCCAGGUCCCAUGUUGCGAAUGAUAACCAUGUCAUGGAAGCUAUUAGAUUAUUCAACAAUGCUACAAUGGAUGCAGCGAAAUCUGGGAUAAAUCAGCAGAUAAAUCUCACUCCCGAGAUGGCAAAUGACAUAAAGGUUUGGCAAAGAUAACCUGCCUCGUCCACUUUACUUCUUUCACCUGUAGUUUUAAGCUCUUUGUUAAUGAAUGUUUGUACUGUAUUAUGUACAGAAAGCAGAAACUCAAAUAAAGCGAAGAAUGGGAAUUGGUAGCCAUAUAUCAGAAAGAAGGCUUAUUGAUGAACUUGCCAGAAUGGGCAUAAAUGAAUCCAUAGUAAGUGUCCACACAUUCUCAAUUGUAUCCGUCUGGUUGCAUUAGUGUGAAUCUUACGAUUGACUAGAUAUGUGAUAAUUUUGCUGAAAAAGGUGAUAAGCUGAUGUAUUAUUUUAUUGCAGGUUAGAAGAGCGCUGAUAAUCAUGCAUCAAAGAGAUGAAGUUGAGUACAAGAGAGAAAGACGGGUUAUCCUCAGGAAAGCUUAGUAUAUGGUGUACAAACAAUGUUUUAGGUAUCAGUGGCAAACAUCUGCCUUCCCCUGAUUUCUUUGUUAAACCACGCUCAACAAUAUAGAGUGCUUUAUUGGUUAAAAACGCUGCAAACAUUGAUAGCAUAAUGUAAACGAUAUGCUGAUGUUCAUCAUUUCUUAUUUUUCUUGUCCUUUUCUAGGUUUACAAAACAAGAAAACGAUAAUCAAAACUUGACAAAUCUUUUAAGCGUCUUAAUUUACCGUCUUUCAGCAUUGCUGUUUGUAUAAGUAUAACACGUAAUAUGUUGUUGCAAAAAUGAGUGCUAAUAUAUAUACAGAAUUCACUACAGAACUCAUUUCUUAAAAAACUAAUGUCCUGAUUUCUAAAAGUUAAAUAAAAUAAUUUGGUGUAAAACAAUCAGUUUAAUAAUUCUCAGAUUUAUACUAAAAUGUAAUUGAAUAUGAUGAUCUGUGUAAGAUUGAAAAACACAAAAUAUUGCGAAAUCAUAGUUGAACUUUGGAGGCCCUUGAAAAAAAAUCUGCCUACUGCCAUCAUAUAGAUGUGUAGCAGCAAUUCAACAGUUGUUUAAGGUGUUUGUUAUAAAAUAAUUACAUUCCGUCUCAGCUAGCAACAAAAAUAUAAUGUUUAAACAGCCAAUUACAGAUCUCAUCCAACAUACUCUACUACCAUCUACCCUGUUAUAUCAUAAUAAAUUUUGAUUUAGAAGUAGAAGCAGCAGCAGCAGCUAAAUUGUGCACAAUGUCCCUUAUUUACUGUUGUCUUCCAUGAAAAAUCUUGUUUUGGGCCGCCUCAUUUCUUUUCUAUCCAUUUACACUAUUUUCCACAUGCCCCCUUUGAGAAUAAGGACUUCCCUUUAACCUGUAAUACUUUAGCCCAUUUUGUACAAGUGAUCAGAUAUGGUGUCUGUGCAGGACGGAUCUAGGAUUCAAAUCUUUAGGGGCACCAAACGAAUUUUUGAAAAACACCAGUAUAUUUUUAUAUUUUAUGGGGGCAGUUUCAUAAUUUUGUAAAAUUUAGAAUGGUGAAAAAAUGUCAAAAAAGUUUUUAGGAUGACACGUGUCCCAUGCUUCUUACUAGAUCCGUCCCUGUGUCUGUGUGCAUGUACAGGUUGAUUAAGUUAUUGUACUUUCUUGAUCAUCGUAGGAAUUAUACCUGAAGAUACGAAAAAAGGCCUUUUGCACAGCAGUGUUAGACUGAUGUGCUGUCAUUGCCUGAAGAUUGUAGGCCGUGGAGGGUGCGUUGAGCCUGAGCCCAUUGCGCCUCUCUUUCCUCCUUCGAAAGCUUCUUAGAAUUGUGACCAUUCUACAUAAAGUUAGUUCAUUGUUUAGAACCUAUUGCAGUUUGAUUUACAGUUUGUACUGUGUGUUUACUUAAAUUUGUUAUGGAAGUACCUUGUUAUCUAAAGUGUCCCAGGCAUGGCCCUCAAUAAUGUAGCGUGCGAUGAAUUUCACUAUAUCAAGAGGGAUGUAAAAGAUGACGCUGAAGAGCCAGAUAGCUCCGGCCCAUCCCCACCCGAUCCCAUGGAUUUCAGCAAAACUCCAGUCUGCGUACACUGCAAUGAGGGUAGCUAUGAACUGGGCUAUAAAGAAGGCGGUAACAAGCAUUAGUCCUGGGCGUUCUGCGAAUGACCAGCCACGAGACCUUGUCACGAAGAUUAGUGCUUGGCUCACAAUGCUGACUUGAAGGUAUACAGCUGCAGUGAUCUCUUCGUGGUUAUUCUGAAUUGACCUAACUCCGAAAAUAUCCUGCAACAUUCAAAUAUAAGAACAAUUACAAAUAGGCCUUAGUUUACAACACUGUUAUAAGUUAUUUUUUAGAACAAAGGACAACUUACCGCGAAGAUGUCAGUUUCAGCAGCCACGUAGUAGAACAAAACAGAUAUAAGAGCAAGGUAUGUGCCAAGGGCAACACCGGUGGCAAAGAUCUCCUGAAGCUUCCACGAGUCAGGCACGGGAGAUGGCUUCACCCUGUCCUUUGAGAUGGUCAUAAUUGUGCCAUCAUUCAAUACGGCAAUGAUAAGUACCAUGAACGGGGAGAAGUCAAACUUCCAGAUGAGAGCAAGGAGCAUGAACCCGAGCACUAUACGGAUUGUGAUAGAAACAGCAUAAAUGGUAUAGUUCUUCAUCCUUUGGAAAAUGGCUCUGCUAGUCAAAACAGCACUAACAAUCACGCUUAGGCCAGGCUCAGUCAGAACAAUGUCAGAAGCACUCCUGGCUGCAUCAGUUGCAUCUGCUACAGCAAUACCAAUGUCUGCUCUUUUGAGUGCUGGUGCAUCAUUCACACCAUCUCCAGUCAUACCACAUAUGUGAUUUCUUUCUUGCAACUUCUUCACAAUUUCAUAUUUGUGCUCUACAUAAGGCCAAAUUUGUGUUAAAUUCUGACAGUAUUAGUGACUAUACAUUUUGUACGUAAUUUACAAUUAAAUUACCAGGGAAUACUCCUGCGAAUCCAUCAGCCUUCUCAAUGAGAUCCUCCACGGGUAUGGAAGAAAUAGACUCAUCGGUGCUUUGGCCAAGAAGAGAAGAGGAGGGGUACAUAUUAGUGCCCAUACCAAGUCUGCGGCCAGUCUCUUUGCCAAUCGCCAGCUGAUCACCAGUAAUCAUCUUGACACUGACACCAAGUUCAAGAGCUCUACGGAUUGUCUCAGCACUGUCAUGUCUUGGAGGGUCAAAUAGAGGCAAUAAUCCCACAAACUCCCAUGGUGAUCCUUUACUUUCCUUGUCCUUUUCUGGUACGGUCUGUAAAUAUCAUAACGAAUUCAUCAAAUCCAUGUCACCUUACUUUAUAUGUUGUAACUAGUAUGUACUAAAUAUUAAAUCACCUGUCGUGCAACACCCAAAGAGCGAAGACCCCGGUUUGCAAAGUUGUCAAUGAUAUCAUGAGCCUUCUUUAAUGUUUCUCCCUUGAGCUCACAAAUCUCAAUUAUCUGGUACAACAUAGACAGAUGGGGAAUGUUAUGUUGAAAUAUCUAGUACUUUGCUAGUGCAAGUCAUGUAGAAUGCAACAAACUAGUUGUCAAUAGUGAUGGGAGUGUCGUACUUGUUCAGGAGCGCCUUUGCUACUCCUAUGCCAAUUGCCGGAGCUAUCAAUGUAGGUGAUUGCAGUCCGCUUAUCAACCGGGUUAAAUGGCAAGAAAUGCACCUCUUUUAUACCAGCUCUGGCCUGCACCAAGUCCGAAGCAAUGCAAUUCAGUUGAUUUCUAUUGUUCAGAAAAAUUCCAAAGUAAAACAUGCAAGAAACAAGAAAAUACCUCCUUGGGGUCACUCAACAUAUUAACUAUGGAAGCAUCAAUUGCAUCCUGAUUUUCAACUCUGGAGGCCCUAGCUGCAUACAGGACAAGAUCAUCUUUAUCCAUGUCCCUCGCAAAAACCUCAAUCAAGUGCUUGUCAACAGUGAGCUUAUUAAGGGUGAGGGUUCCAGUCUUGUCACUACACAGUAUAUCCAUUCCAGCCAUCUCCUCAAUGGCAGUCAUUCUCUUGGUAAUAGCACCCUGCUCUGAAAGCCGGUGAGAACCAAUGGCCAUUGUCACUGACAAAACUGUUGGCAUUGCAAUUGGGAUUCCUCCGAUCAAAAGCACUAACAAAUUGUCAAUCCCUUGCCUGUAAGUUCUGUGUUGGAUCGGAUACAUUACUAUCACUUCAAUGACAAGCCCCACAGCAAUGGAACAGAUACAGAAAUUACCAAUGGCAGUCAGCACCUGAUCCAUCAAGAACCAUAGUCUGGCUUAGUUAAAGAGUGCAUAAAUAAUCAUCAAGAAAAACAUUACUGCUAAUAUUUUACAAAGUACCUGUUGGAAGUGACCAACACUAUUGGUACUAUCAACAAGAUGAGCAGCUUUCCCAAAGAAGGUGUGGAUACCAGUGGCAAUAAUUACGGCCUCAAUCUCACCUUGCUUGCACGUGGAACCAGAGAAAACUGAGUCACCGGGAUUCUUGGUUACAGGAAGAGACUCACCAGUUAGAGCUGAUUGAUCAAUCUUUAAAGGAUCCCCCUCCAAAAGACGAGCAUCAGCUGGGAUGAUAUCACCUAACUUAACACUAACUAUAUCUCCCGGUACCAAAAUUGAUGCCUCCUGCUCACUCCAUUUCCCAUCUCUCAAAAUCUUCAACAAAUAUAUGGCAAAUCAAAUUUUAAUGCCUUACUCAAAUUAUUUCCAAACACAUUAUUUUUAUAAUAUAUCUGCAAUACCUUUGUUUUAGGAGCUAAACCUGCCAUCAGAGCAGCAGCAGCAUUCCCUGCAUUGUUUUCUUCUAUAAAACUAAUAGUUGAGUUUAUAAUUAGCAACACAACGAUACCAAGGAAGUCUUGCCAAUCCGGUGCUUUGCCCUGCAUUUUCGAGGAUUUUAGUCAAAAAAAUUAACAAUUUAACCAAAAAAAUAAAUAUAAAAAGGGUGGUACAAGAAUUCUCAAGCUUACCCCUCCAUUGGCCAAAGCUAUUGCCAUGAUAGCAGCAGCCUCCAUGACCCAUGACAGAGGAUUCCACAUAAAACCCAAGAACUUUAGGACCUUGCUUUCCUGUUGCAUGCAAAGAAUUUAUUAAUGCAAAAAAAAAAAAAAUUAGAAAACUUACUCAGAGACCCUGCUUUAUAANAUUAGAAAACUUACUCAGAGACCCUGCUUUAUAAAAAACCAGUAAAUAUAAAAAGAGAAACUAGUGUGCAUGCCUUUUUCUCUUCAAGUUUAUUAGGGCCAAAGGUUUGAAGUCUUGCUAAUCCUUCAUCACUUGAAAGUCCCUCCCUUGUGCACUUCAAUACCUUAAAUACUUCCUCAAGGGGGAUUUUCUCCUGCAACAAACGUCGACGACAUGAUUUAACAAUAAAACGCAACUCGCUAAGGUCACCAUGAAAUGAUAAAGGAAGUAAGAAAGAUAUAUCUUACGAGAUCAACUUUUUCAUUUUUAAUAUCUUCCAUGGAAAUGUUGGAGGCCAUUAUUUACAAGAAAAAAGAGGACAUGCACAACAAAAUGAAAAAUAAUCUGAAAGACUGAUCAAGGGAGAAAGAUCGAGAUGAUACAAAGAAGAACACAGAAUGUAUGAUCCGAAUCUCUAUCUUAUCUCCCUCCUUUAAAGCCUAAGUCUUUCUUCUUCCCCUCCUCUUUCUAGUCUAUUUAUUCAGGCCUCCAAAUCAACAAAUGCUUUCUAACAAAAGUUGAAAUGGAAGCCUCCCUUCUUAUUUAUUUCUUCUCUUUCGAACUUUAAUAUUUUCCAUUUCACCCUACACUUACGCGGAAUUCGGCCUGCCUAUUACAGAUUCCUAUUUUUUUGUCACCUCCAAAUUUCAUGGAUUACUUUUGAUUUUCUUUUUUAUAUUCUUUUACUCUUAAUAGAUUGUCACUUCAUUAUAUCAUAUAUCACUACUGAUCUUUUUUAUUUAUAUAGGUUUAUAUGAAUGACCAUUUUAAAUAUUUAUUUAAAAAUAUUCAGGGUAUGAGGGGAUUGAAAAUCUUUCUCAGAAAUCUUAAAGUAUUACAAGUAAUAGUCUCUCUGAGACACGACACCAUGUUAAGUAACCAACUUUCUGCAAAUUGUAAGCGUUGAUGUGUACUUUCUUACAAGGGCCUUUUCAAUGAAGAACAAGUAUGACUGAGAAGAGAAAAAUAAGCAAGUUCAUAUUGUAACCUUUGCAGUAUGGUAUCUAUUUAUACCUUGUUAUUGUGAGUGAUGAGAUGCCUGAUCUCUUAUCCAGAAGUUUCCGCAGUCGAUUUGUUUACACGUCAUUUAUUUUCAUUUUAAUUAAUUAAAAAGACCAUUUAUGUCUUAAAGUUGUAGGUACUGAUAGGAUGUUGUCGUUGAGCUCUGUGACAAUAUCUCGCAAUUUUCAAUACUCUGGAGGAGGGCCAGACAAAAUUUCGUCGAAAUAUCUUUUAUGCAGAAAGGAACCCUUUAGCUUCUGGAAUCUUUGAUGUUUCCAUCGAAUUAGACAGAAAAAAAAUGUUUUUGACAAGUGAAAAGCUGGCCGAGAGACAAUGAUCCUGGGAAAAAGCCUUAUUAAUUGAUCUGUAUCAUCCAGGUGACAUGUUUAUAUUCCUAGUCCGUGCAAUUAAUUAAUCCAAACCGAGUAGCCAACGAUGUGAUCAAGGCAAUGCCUUAUGCGGUUGACAAAUUAUAUAUAUAUAAAUUGAAGGCAACUCUGUAAUUUGGUGAUGAAAUUAACUUAAACGAUGGCUGUGCAAGAGUCUGUACUGAUCUUUCUUGCCAUUUUCAGCCCGACAGUACUGGCAUAUAGCGGUAUUAAAGGUGCAUAUUGGCCGUCGUGGGAGGCUGAUGCCUUAUCUCCAGCGAGCAUACCUACUUCAUACUUCACUCACCUGUUCUACGCCUUUGUGGAGGUGAACAACGCGACUUAUGAACUUUCCAUCACACAGCCGGAUGACAAAUGGAUGGGGAACUUCACGGCUACAUUACAUGCUAAAAGUCCCUCGCCAAAAGUUAUUUUGUCGAUAGGAGGGGCUAAUACAGGCACCAUGUUCUCUGACACAGUAAGCAGCCACAAAAGGCGGUCUGCGUUUAUAAACUCAACUAUUGUUGUGGCGAGGAAGUAUGGCUUUGACGGUCUUGAUCUUGAUUGGGAAUUUCCAAACAGUAUACUAGACAUGUCCAACCUCGCCACAUUUUUCACUGCUUGGCGCUUUGCUGUUGACAAGGAGGCCCGUGUCUCUGGCAAGCCGCGGAUUCUUUUGUCUGCUGCAGUGUAUUAUUCUUCUGAGAUGUUCUCCACAAGUCCCCCGCUUAGUUAUCCAGGUCACGUGAUUAAAAAGUACGUUGAUUUUGUAAGUCCAAUGUGUUUUGAUUUUCAUGGAACCUGGGAUCCCCUAAAAACUGGUUCCCCAGCACCAUUAUACGACAACUAUAGUAAUCUUAGUACAAGUUAUGGCAUCUCUUCUUGGCUAAAAAGUGGAGUGCCAUCGGAUAAAGUAGUGAUGGGACUUCCAACGUAUGGAAGAACUUGGGAAUUGGUAAAUUCUAGUGACCAUAAUAUUGGUUCUCCUGCUCUUGGAGCUGGCUCUCCUCCAGUUCUGACAUAUGAUCAAAUAGUUGAUUUUAAUUUGGAAAACAACGCGACUGUGGUGUAUGAUGAGGCUACAGUUUCGACGUAUUCAUACUCAGGGAAAAAUUGGACCGGGUAUGAUAAUGUGGAGUCUGUUAUAAACAAGGUGAAGUUUGCUAAAGACCAGGGUCUUGGAGGUUAUUUUUUCUGGGCACUUGGUGAUGACAAAAACUGGGUUCUCUCUGCUGCUGGUGAAUUUCUUUACAAUUACUAGAUCCAUUUAAUUUUUAUAAACCUUUCGUCCACUUCUGCAUUUGUAUAAAUUCAUGGACAUUAGAAUUGGACUAAUGAAUUGACUGUGUUAAACUGCAGCUUCCAAAGCAUGGGACAGCUAAACUAAUCUCUCUGUUGUACAUGGAUAAGUGGCGCCUGAAGUAUACAUUCGGAUUUAUGAUCACAUUUUUUCUUUCGGUUUAUCUGUCUGUUGAUAAUUUCUAAAUUUUUCGGCUGGCAAGCUGUGUCUCUACUCCUAGUAGGGAUAAGGUAUGCUUCUCACACUCUCAGUACUAUGCUUCUGAGUAAAUUAUAGUGUUGUAUUUGGUUAUUUCUGUAUAAAAUAAAAUAUCUGAAAUUCAAAUACUGCAUUAAUGUGCAAUAAUGAAUAAACUUCUGUAUAAUUUGAACCUAGGGUUAUCAUCCUGAUUUCCAGUUACAGUGUUGGAUUAAUACAGUAUUAAGAUAGAAACACCCUGCUCCCGAGUUUUAAAUAAGGAGGAAAGCAAGUGAAGAGUAGGUAAAGUAGUAUAAAUUUCACUCCUAUUUGUGCUCCCGAGUUUUUUUGAAGGAUGAAAGCAAGUGGUUAGGAUUUAAGGAAUGCUGAGUUAAAAUAAUUUCAUUUUAAAACUUCCACUCCGAAAUUAGGAUGAAAGUGAAAGCAAGACAGACUUUCAUUUACUUCCUUUCUUAAAAGAGCUCGAGAGCAGGUCCUAGGUCAUUUCACAUCGGCUUUCACCCAUUAAAAAACUUUACUGAAUGGAAGUCUUCCUGUCUCACUAUUAAUUCAAUUGAUCUUACAACUACAGAAAACACUCUUAGGUAUAUGCUGUUAAACAAAACGAACUAAAUGGCAAUAAAUUCACAAAAUUAUCAGAUACAACACAAGAGAAAAAAUAUGUAAGGUCUUCCCCAAAUCCAAUCACAGUUAGCCAGGUUGUUGAAUUUCACAAAAGUAAAAGCGGAAAGUGUAGUUGAAGCUCUUGAUCUCAUCAGCCUUCAUUCAUCUUAAUCAAAUCCAUAACUGGGAUGCUGCAAAAUUUCGACCAAACAGUUAGUCCAGUAAGACCAAAUAUAAUCAAAACUAAAAAACUAAAUACAUGUAUAUGAUUACAAACUUUGUCUGUAAAUGUAAAAUGAUAAGUGGAGCAUAGUAGCGAUACCUGUUCUGGAAAUGCUCCAGUUGUGAUCACCAUUGAGGGCCCAAAAGAAGUAACCACCAAUUCUAAGGGACUGUGCAUAUCCAAUCUUAACAGUUAUCGAUACAAUAUCAUCAUAACCAAUCCAUGUACUCCCUGCAACUGAAUAAGUAGAGACAGUUGCCGCGUCAUAUGUCACAGUGGCCUUAUUUGCCAAGUUGUGAUUCCCUAUUUCAAAGUAUGUUAGUAUGCCAUCUGGCCCUGGACCGAUACCCAUAGCUGGGGCUCCAAGACCGCUCACUUCCGGAUCUUUCAGGCUCCAGGUCUUCCCAUAAAGUGGCAAGCCCAUGAUCACUUUUCUUCUUGGAACCCCGGCUUUGAUCCAGGACUUGAGGCCAUAACUGGUACUCAGGUUCCCUGUUAAAUCAAAUAGUGCUGCAUGGCUUCCAGUGGCAUUCGGCGUCCACUUACCAUAAUAGUCAUAAUUCAUUGCAUUGAUCCAAUCCAAAUUUUUACUAAUUGAAGCUCCAGGGUAUUUUACUGGAAUCCCAGUAAAAUUACCAUUGGCAGAAUAGUAUGUAGCAGCAGCAAGUAAUAACUGAGGCUUAUAUGAGGCUUUAGCCUCUUUUUUCACCUCAGCUCUCCAUUCCUGUAUUAAAACCCCAAAAUUAACCAUAUCACCAGGAGUCUGUGGAAAUUCCCAAUCCAAAUCAACUCCAUCAAACCCAAAUUUCCUUGCCACUUCUAUGCUUGAAUCAAUAAAACUCUUACGCGACCAACCAGUUGAGGCCAUUCUAGAGAAAUAGGCAGGACCAUCAUUUGCCCCGCCAACUGAGAACAGCGUCUUCACUGUUGGAUUCUUGGCGCGUACAGCUGAUGUGAAGUUAACAAGCAACAAAGCUGUUGCAUCAUCAACCUCAAACUUAAACGUGACAUUGUUUGGAGUCAAGAAGGCAUAAUACAAGUGUGUAUAGUACGAUGCCUCUAUAGCAGACGGUGGAAGAUAAUCUACUGACCACGAAGGCCAGUAAGCACCUUUCAUCGUAGAAGUAGCCAAUGCAGAGUGACACAAGAAACUUAGCACAACAAUAACACAGACACUCUUGCCGUCCAUUGCCUUUGCUUGUUUCACACAAGAUUAGUCGUAAUUUAUGCUUGUUCCUUUCAAUUCUUUCACUAUAAAUAGACUAUAGAGCAAACCUGAAAACCUGUAGACGGAUUUAAUUAUGUAUAAUUAAUUGCGUUUAGACAAUAAGCACUAACAACUAUGGAUAAAGAACGAAGGCUAGAGACAGAGACUUGGCUCAGGGUCAGGCAGACCAAGUCCAAGGGACAUGGUCAUUAUAUUACCACAUAAAAAUCCUUUUUUCUUGUCUGGUUUGAUUCUGAUCUGCAGGAAAAUCAUAUGCAUCCAAGCUAAGAAGACAAAUAAGGCUACAUUUUCAUAUUCAUACCCAACUGCUCGAUUUUUUUACUUAAAAAUUUCGCAUUUGGAUUUAGCUCUGCGGUGCAUCUCAUUGGAAGUUUAUUUAUCGAUUGACUUGAGUGUGUAAUAAAAGUCAUAAGCCUGCAGCUUUAGUUCAAUACUUCCAACAAACUAGGCAAUGCUUAAUGGGAGAUUUAUGUAUUAAUUGUCGGUAUUUAUAAAAUUAUGAUUACUUAGUACAGAUAACCAAUGACUGUAUUUGCCGACUGACUAGUAAGAAAACAAUACUUUGGAAGAGCUAAGAACAGCUAAAUCAAACAGAGAAGUUGUUGCAGAGUAUAGUGAUCGCAUGCAGGCCCUUUUAACAUAAAAAAAUUUGACAGUAAAUCUACAUAAAAAGGAAAAUUACAGUAUUUUUUAUAAUCAUCCCUGUACAAAUUUCAUUUUACUCUUCCGUGACUUAUUUGCAAUGAUGCCCUCUUGUGUCAAAUUUCUCUCCCAUUUCCUGACAAAAAAAAUAAAAAAUUCUCUCUCAUUUGACAGCCUAAAUCCAUCCUCUAUAGGCUUAUUUAGAUGGCAGGUUGUCUUUUUUGUUUUAUAGCGAAAAAAUAUCAAUUAUUUUGAUAUUUUACACGUAUUUUUAAAAAUUUCGACAAAUUAAUUUUAAAAAUAUGUGAAAAAUCGACUAACAUAUCCUCACAGUAUUACGUAUACACGCCUGUCAAUGUUUUUUAUUCAGCGUCUCUAAUUUCUCCCAAAUUUCCUCUACGAAAUGUGGAAACGCGUUUUUGAUAUGCUGGUAAAAAGGAAUUGAACCUGACGUGAAUCGAACACGCAACCUUCUGAUCUGGAGUCAGACGCGCUACCAUUGCGCCACAGAUCCAACUUACCAAGGUUGUCGUUUAUUUGUAUAAUUAAUCGAAUUACCUAAUUGUUCAUCUCCUUUGAGAAUGAUUUGAGCCCUGCGCUGAAGUAAAUAUGGAAUAAAUUGAACGUUAUAUUUGAAAUGGGAACUUCAUUAUUGCUUGUACUUGGCCUAGUAGAAUCAAUAUAGCUGUGUCCAUGUAGGGUUUUUUUUUGUUAGGAUUUCCAUUUAGGUUUAAUCCUGCACUUCUGUAAGAAUUUCGCUUCCAGCACUUUACUCCUAAAUUAUGUACUUCGAUAUUUAGGUUUAAUCCUGUUCUUUUGUAAGAAUGAUGUGCAAAUUCACUUCACUUCAGUAUUUCAGGAUUGUGAAAGGCAAUCAAUUAUAUGUCACGACUCGGAGUGGUUAAUAUUUAUCUAUCGACUAAUAAAAUCUACUAUCCUUGUUGGAUACAAUUUUUUUUGUUCUGUUUUAAAUUUGUUUUCCGGGCAUUCUGGAGGGCAUUCUCAGCUUCUUAAAAGUGCUUCUAUUUCUUUACACAAACGGGUUAAAGAAAAACAGAAGCCAGAAGCAGAAGUGGCUUUGCUUCCCAAACAGGCCCAUGGUCUGUUGAUUUAGUAGUGCUUGGUUAAUAAUUUUUAUUAACUGAUAUCGAAAUGAAUUAUUUCUUACUGGGUUAUAGACUUGUAGUAUAUUAGUACUAUCAUGAAAGGGGAUGCAUAGUUACUUUUGAACUAUGAUCAAGUUAAGUCCUUUGACACAACGCAUCGCCUAGUUAGCUCAAGUUUAUGGUCAUAUUCAGACUUCAGGUAAGUCUUUACUUAACUCUACUUAAUACUUUAAGUCAGUGAUUAAUUAUAUGACAAAUGGCCUAGAGUGGUAAGUCUUUAUUUAACUCUACUUAAUACUUUUGUUCUUGUAUAGUAUUUUAUAAUGGUUUUCUUAGUUCUUCUACAUUUUUUUUUGAGAUGUGGAUGUUAUAAAUCUGUACACUGAUUAUUAAGCUAAGGGGCUUGUGUAUUAAUAUCAGUUUCAAUAAACCCAGGCUUGAGUAGCAUUUGAAAGAAUAAAAGACGUCUAAAAGGAGUUAAGAUGGACCAUCAUCGUGGUACCACUUGAGAAAUAGUUGCAAUAUCUACCGACAUUACAUCUUCAGCGGUAAAUCUCAUUGCUUCACCAUUGCCGUCAGUUGAGAAUGCAGGCCUUUCUGGAAUAGGUAUGACUUCAGUUUCAUUUCUGAGCAUUGAUGAAAUAUCUAACAUAGUUGGCCUUUCUGCCCAUUUUUCUUGAACACACAACAAAGCCACUUGCAUGCAUCUUAAGAGUUUACAUGAUGAAGUGGUAUCAUUUAGCGAUGGGUCCAUGAACUCCAUGCCUUUUCCAGCUUUCCAUAAGUCAUAUGCCUGAAAAAUUCAUUUUUGUUUUUUCAAUUUUAUCUUAUAGUCCUUCACAUCAUCACAUGCCAAAUUCUAGAUGGAAAACAUGAUUCAUAUGUCUAUGAGAGUAACUUACGUAUUCCAGCAGAUUUAACCUCCUAGUUGCACCAUAUAGAUGUGUACAUUUCUUUCCACUUACAAUUUGCAGUAGUAUUACUCCAAAGCUGUAAACAUCAUAUUUUCUGGAGUAUAUUCCUUUUUUUACGUACUCUGGAGGAACAUAACCACUGCAUCAAAAUUUGAAUGAUCAAACUUCAGGUAUAAUGUAAUCUAAAACAGCUGUAUGAAAGUAUAUUCUGAUCUUGUACUUACUAUGUUCCAACAAUCUUUGUUGUGUUUCCUUCAAUUUCAUCUUUCUGGAAGCUUCUAGCUAUACCGAAGUCGGAUAUUUUUGGCCUCAUUGCUGCAUCCAGUAAUAUGUUGCUAGCUUUCAGAUCUCUGUGAAUUAUUGUUAAUCUUGAGUACUCCUGCAGAUACAGUAGCCCCUGAAUAACCCCUUCAAUGAUAUGAACCCAGUUCUCCCACUGGACCAUUGACCUUGCAGUUGGUUCUACAUUAAUAGUAUAAAAGAGUUUUAGUUUUUUCACGAAACAUCCAUAAAGGAGCAGGCUGGAACAAGAAUUAGAUUUACAUUUGGGACUUAAAGUGCAUUUUUUGUCAUUCAAAACCAUAUAGACUGUAGCAAACUCUUUUGCAUUCUAUCAUUUCCAAGUUUGAUUAAUUAAGUGUUCUUCUCUUGAUUUCUAGUAAAGCCAACUAUUUUGCUUAACUAUGAUGGAAAGAGUUUUGGCGUUUAAUGAUAUAUGAUGUGUGUGGCUGUGCGCGCAUGCCUGCACAUGUGUCUGGGAGAUAACAGUAAUGCAUCUCUUGCACCGAAACUUAGCUGGGAAAGUAUGAUGACUCCUUGUGCUUUUUACCUUCUUAUGUAGGAAAUGUGACUUCUUACUUGGAAAUAAGUAGGAAUAUAACAAAGAAAACUGACAUACAAUUUAUUUCCUCAGGUAAAACUGAACAAGUGUAAAGAUUCGCAUACCAAACAUGUAAAAAUCCAAGCUUUUGUUUGGCAUGUACUCGUAGAUCAGCAUCUUUUCUUCUCUUUCUGUGCAAAACCCCAACAGUCUUACCAAGUUAACAUGUUGUAGUUUUGCUGUAAGUGCAACCUCAUUCUCAAACUCCUCAACUCCCUGCUUGGACUUUUGGGAUAGUCUUUUCACUGCUAUUUCCUGUCCGUCUUGCAGUUUUCCCUGUGGAGAUUGUAAGGAGGUGUAGUAUUUCUCUUUCAAUUACAAUUUUUAUAGGAGUUCUUUCAUGAAUGCAUGCAUGUACAUAGUCCCCCCUCCCAGCUUUCACAAUGCUUGCACAAGUAUAAUAUAUUCAUAAUACCAACCUAAUAGUACAUACUCCCUCCGUCCCCUUUUACAUGUCCCUUUUGAAAAAAUUACGCAUUUUAAAGAAAAAAUUAGUUGAGUAUUUGGUUUCCUUGUCUACCCCUAAUAAAUGCACUGAAUUAAAUUGAUUUAUGUGUAUAUGUGUGGUAGUCAAACAUGAAAACUUGUAUUCAAAGGGUAUUCUUUGGGAAAACAUUUAAAAAAUAGCUUUGAAAAGAGAAAUGAGACAAGUAUUUUGGGACAAAUUUUUUUCUCAAAAAAGACAUGUAAAAGGGAACGGAGGAAGUACUAUUGUAAGUUUAAAAUCUACAUUCACUUCCAUAUACUUUAGUUUGUUUCUUAUUCAUUCACUUGUGUGCUGAAAGGCAUAUGUUUUAGUAGCAUGGCAAUUGCUUUAAGCAUACCUGAGAGUUAUAAUUUAUAUGAAUUACCUUGUAAACAGGUCCGUAUCCACCCUCUCCGACCCUAUUGUUCAUUGAAAAUUCAUUUGUUGCUUCCUUCAUAACAGCAAAACUGAAUACUUGUAGAUCAGGAGAUGAUGACUUUUUGCCUCUAUUUAAAAGCUGGUUCACUGAGAUAUAAGACAGAGGUUUAGGCUAUUCAUUUUUAAAAAAAUUUAAGUAUUUAAGAGUAUUUUGUUUCAUUAUUUUCUUUUAUGAUUUCACAGAUCAGUAUUACAUUUUUUCAUGUAAUUUUUUAAUUAUUCAAUUUUUCCAAAUGUAUGUUGUUACUCUACCUUUUAAUUUACUAACUUUUCUUCUCAGGAGCAUCAUGGUGCCCAGUAGAAAGGCAAUUACAGCUGCUGUAGGCCAAACAAUCAGCAUCCACCCUUUUCGCUUGGCAUGUUUGUCUUCCAAUCCAGCUGUUAAGGUAAAUGUGUGAUUAACAUAUCAAAUCUGUACAUUCCAAGUACUUUCAAAAUUUCAUAAAAUAGUUCAGUGCCUUAAACUUACUGGUUUUAAUCGUUUCCAAUUCAUCCAAAAUUUCAAUAAACUCUUCGGAAAUGAUUUUAUAUGAACUAAGAGAUAAGUCUAAUACUUGUGAGGAUGUUUCAUUCUGGGUGACACUGCCAGUUCCAUACAUUAACAGAAUUGUAAUAAUUUAGCAUCUAGUGGUGUCUAAUAUGCUGCUGAUGCAUUCCUCUACAAAUAUUAUAAAUUUAAUAUGUCAUAAUUUUAAUUGCAUUAUGAUUUGCCCCUCCCCAUUUGUUUCAAAUAUGGAUUUGAUAAAUUGGGCUUCUAGUUAACAAUUUACGUAAAAAUUCAGAGUUUUCUACAAGGUUCAGCUCUCUUCCCAAGUCCCCAAUUCUCAUUUAUCUUCUAUGUUUAUAAAAACAUUAAAUAAUAAAGAUUAUGUUAACGAUAUAGUUGGAAAAGCUCUACUUACCUGCUGCCUUGGAGAGCAUCCAGUUGUCAUCAUUAGGGACUUGCCAAACAUUAUAACCAAGAAGACCCAAACCUUUUGCAUAAGCAACUUUAGUUUUGAUGGCAUCUACGUCAUCAUAUCCUAUCCAAUUAGAUUUUAUGGUGCAAUAAUUUACUACAUAUGUUGCAUUGUACUCGGAAGCAGCUCUGGAACUACUUAUGAAUUUCUUGAUGUACCAGUAAGCCAUAGAUCCGUCUUCUGUGAGGGCCGGGCCUCUAGCUGGAGAGCCAAUGGAAUUGUGUGUGGAAUUAACUAGUGUCCAUGCAUAACCAUGGUAUGCUAACCCCAGCACCAACUUGUUAGCAGGUAAUCCACUCUUAAUCCACUCCUUUAUACCAUAAUCUGUGUUCAAUCGGCUUGAAGGAUCAUACAAAGCAGCAUGAGCAGCUGUAUAGUUUUCUUUCGAAGGCAGAUGGUAGUCAUAUGCUUUAAUAGUAAUCCAGUCCAGGUUUCUUCUUAGAGCGUCAAUUGGGUAACUCGUGGAACUUUGCCUUGGUGAGUAAUAGCCUGACAUAGUCAAGAUUAGUCGCGGUUGUUUAGAUGUUUUUGCCUCCAAAUCUAUUGCAGCUCUCCACUCAUCAAGUAAGGUUCCCAAAUUUGUCAUGUUAAUCCCCAUACUCAGUAUAGCGUUCGCGUAGAGUUCUAGCCCUUGAAAUUCAUACUUCCUGGCUAUGUUUAUGGAGGACUCAAUAAAAGAUCUUCUACGAGAUGAUUGAGUUACCAUCAAAGGAAGUGUCGAUGAGUUAUUAUCUCUAGUCCAUGCAGAUAAGAGUGUUAUAACUGAGGGGUUCUUUCUCUUCACUAUGUUGGUGAAGGUAGAAAUGUAAGGCUCGUCUGCGGAUAAUAAAGAAAGCUCAUAGGUAUUCGGGUUGAGAUGAGCAAAGGCGCAUAUGAGGUGAGUGAAAAGAGCCGAGUUAAUCUCAGGGACCGGAAAUUCUUUACCAACAUACCAGUAACCAGCUCUAAUCCAGGUAUGUGUUUUUGAACAGUUUAAUUGUGUAAACAGGAGAAAAAGGGUGAGAAACUUGAUUAACAUUGAGAAAUGCUAGAUAGUUAUGUUUGAUUGUGGCAUGCACUUGAACUAUAUGAAGAAGUGACCCUCCAGGCCUUGGUUCUAAUAAGUAGAAACUUCCAAGAAGUUAAGAAAUAGUUGCACAAGACAUCAGGAUGGUUCGUAGCAAUGUUAUUUCAUGUUAGACUCUUGCAUGGUGGCUGAAUAUGAUUGAUUCACGGGUCACUAUGAACUUACAGUCAUGUCUAACUAAUAAAACCCUUUGUAUUAAAAAUUUAAAAGUAUGUAUCAAAAAAUCAAAUCACAUAUAUUUGAAAAUGGAGGCAGUAAAGUUAUCAGCACGUCAACCUCCCUUGAACACGUAAAUAGUCUUCAUGUAGGACUCCGUGAAUUGAAAUAUAGGCCCCUUCUCUUUUGUCACCGCUAAAGAUGCAUUCCACCUCUUCUGUUUAUUUGACCGCGAAAAUAGGCUCGGAGAGCCGGGUCUAUUUUUAUUUACUCCCUUCUGAGUCCGCAUCUUGUUACCUGAUUUAUAAUACCAAAUCUCUAUGUGUUUGAAAAAGAGAAACAUGGGGAAGUUUGCUUUACUUGCUUAUUCUUACGAGUGAGUUUUUAAUCUCUAUGUGACGGCCACACACAAACGGGUCGUAAACUACAGUAUUGCAUGUGGUAUUUUUCGAAAUGCAGUAUUGUAAGUGGUGUCUUGCUAAAGUAUAGAUACACACAAAACACAAUGCCCUUUAUUCUAAAUAUAAUUAAUUCAUUCGUUCGUUUUGAGUGAAAGAAUAGAAGGAAGAUAAGGUCAUGAAAUAGUCAAACGUAGUGAACCCUGACGGUCUGAAUCAUCUGCCUCUGUUAGAGCAUCUCCUAUGCUUCAUUUCUCCUGGUUAAAAAGCUGAUGUGGCAUUUUAUUUUAGAUAUAUCUUAUUUUUUUUCAAUUUCCAUCCCUUUCUCUCAUUUUCUAAAAAUUUUAAAAGUUGUGAAUACAUGCACUGUACUACAUAGUUAAAAGCAGAGUUCAGCCCUUUGGAUUUUCGAAAAAUUACUUUUAGGCAUAUAUUUUAUAUAAUUGCACUUUGCAUCCUGUUGGUUCGUUUGGCGCGUUCUUUUGCACCCCUUCCGUUAAUUUUGACCGUUAAGGUUAAAAGUCUCGGGAGUAGUUUGGGAAAUUUAUAAAAAUUAAUUUUAACUAGAUUUUAUUUAAUUUUUUUGACCCUCUAAACGAUAUUUUUUGAAAAAUCUUAAAGAAUGAAAGUUGUAAAGAACGAAAAGAUCCUUUUAAAACAGUAAAAUUCAAAAUUAUUGAAAUCUUUUUUGCAAUUGUUUAAUUAAUUACAAAAAUUUAAUAUCUUGUAAAAAGUCGUAAUAAAUUCAAUUAAUUUUCGAUUUCGAUGAUUUUUGAUGAUUCAGAAAACACUUUCAAUUGCCUAUAACUUUCAAAUUUUAUUUCGAAGCUAGAAUCAAUUAAAACAUAUUUUAAUUGAAUUUAAAACUAAAAAAUGAGUUGUAAAUAUUAUUUCAAAAAUAUUUUGAAACAUAAUAUGAGGAAACAACAUGAACGAAAGUUAUAGGCAAUCGAAAGAGUCUUCCGAAUCAUCAAAAAUCAUAAAAAUCUGAAAUUGAUUGAACUUAUUACGAAUUUUUACAAGAUCUCCGAUUUUCGUCAUUUAUUAAAAAAUUACAAAAAAGAUUUCAAUAAUUUUGAAUUUUAUUGUAUUAAAAGGUUUUUUUUCGUUUUCUACAACUUUCGUCUUUUAAGAUUUUUCAAAACAUAUCGUUUAGAGGGUCAAAAAAAUUAAAUAAAAUCUGGUUAAAUUAAUUUUUUUAAAAUUUUCCAAACUACCCCCGAGACUUUUAAUUCUUAACAGUCAAAAUUAACGGAAGGGGUGCAAAAUGACGCGGCAAAUGAACCAACAGAGUGCAAAGUGCAAUUGUAUAAAGUAUAUGUCUAGGAGUGAAUUUUCGGAAAUACAGUGGGUUGCGUUUUGCAAUAAACUCUUAAAAGUAAUAUGAAAAUUUUGAUACUUUUAGGCUCUGUGAUAAAAUAUAAGAGUGAGAUUAUGGGGCCGUUUGGGUUAGCUUAAAAGAAGUGACUUCUUGCUUAUAGUAAAGAAGUGGAGUAGAAGUGAGAAGUAAAUAAGUUAAUAAAGUGUUUGGAAAAAAAGCAGAAGCUGUGAGAGAGAAGCUAGCAUUCCUGGCUUCUUAAAAGUGCUUCUACUUUUUUGCACAAACGGGUCAAGAGAAGCAGAAGCCAGAAGUAGCUUCUGCUUCUCUUGGCCAAACAGGCCCUAUAUCUCAAUUAUUCCAGAAACCAUGCAAGUUUUGUGCUAGCCAUACAAAGUUCUAUUAAUAUGGUUUCUCCUUUUGACUCAUUUUUUCAGAUUGUAAAGCUUCAUAGCUGAUCUUUAUAAUUUAUGUGUUAAUUUCUUUAAUAAUUUAAAGUUUCUUGCAACUUUUCGAUUCCUAAUUUGACUAGUAACUUUAGUAACAUCACAAGGAAAAAAUAUUGUCAGACGGACUUGCAAAUCGCAAUAGACAGUGCCAGUCCUUUGCAUUAUAUUGUUUAGUUGAACGGUGGAAUAUUCUCAAUCGACCUUAGAUACACUAGUACUAAAAUCUGCCCCUUCUGCUCUGUAAGUAGCUGCUAGUAUUAAAUAUAUCUAGACACAAAUUAGGUGGUCAUAAAUCGUAUUCAAUCAUUUUAUUCCUGUAAAGCCUUAUUAAAUCUCACAUAAUGUGGAUCUUAUUUAUAUAUUACACAAUACUGAUAAGAGCAUCUCCAAUGGUGCUCCUAAAUCAUUUCUUAAACAAUAAUAUAAAAUGUGGCUCCUAGUGAGUUAGUACAUUGAAUAAUGUGUGAGCUCCAAUGCUACUCUUUAUAGUUGCUCUUAACUCAUAUUUUAUUAUUAUUUAGGAGAGAAGUUGGAGAGAGAAGUGAAUUGAAAUAGAAGGAAGUGAUUAUUUUAUUCAAAGAAAAUAAGUUAGGAGCACCUAGAUGCUCUUUAAAAGAAAGGAGAGAGAGAAAGCUCUUAAAUUUUUAAACUCAUUGGAGCUCUAAUUUUUCAUAUCCUCCUAAAUUUUAGAGUUAAGAGCUUGUUUGAGGAGCCCGUUGGAGUUGCUCUUGUAGACUGAUUAUCCUGCCUUUCAUGCUCCCCAGGCUUGUUUAGCUGCAGCAGAUAAAGAAAGUUCAGAUAAAAGUUGAACGAAAUUUAAAGUAUGAUCUUGUUAGAGUAAAGAGAAUUAUCUAUGAAACCAGUGAUUAGUACUAACCUUGUUGAGAAAGAGCCCAAUUGGCAUCAGCUGCAACAUGCCAUGCGAAAUAACCAAGCAAUCCCUUCUGUUUAGCAUACGGAACCUUUGUUGAAAUGCUCUGCUUAUCAUCAUAUCCAAUCCAUGUCGUCCCUGAGUAACAAUAGUCUGCAACAAUCGUCGAGUUGUAGACCUUUGGAGCAUUGUUGUUUGCAAUAAAAUCCAAUAUCUGAUUGUAUCCCUUGGAUCCAUCACCAGAACCUCCCGGAGCUCCAUUGGCCGGAGCCAUCAGUCCAUGGUUAUUAGCAUUGGCAAGCUGCCAUGAAUAUCCAUAGAACGGCAAACCAAGCACUAGCUUGUUUGCGCUCACACCAGCUUGGAUCCACGAGCUGAUCCCAGAGCUGGCGCUAACUCUGCCACUAGGAUCAUAUAAGGCAGCAUGAGCAUUGGUCAUCGAAGGUGCCCAUGGCGGACCAUAAAAGUCAUAGGCCAUCACAUUGAUCCAGUCUAGGCUCCGUGAUAUCGAUUGGAUAGGAUAUCUCAAUCCAUCGACGCUUGGCCCAACAGAAACAGCUGCAGUUAAUAGAAUUCUUUGCUUGCCAGAGGCUUGAGCCUCUGCGGCUGCAGCCACACGCCACUCGUCUAGCAACGUCCCCAAGUUGACCAUAUCAUUAGCUGAUAACGGGUACUCAUAGUCGAGGUCUAGGCCGUGGAAAUUAUAUGAUCUUGCCAGUUGUAAGGAGGAAUCAAUGAAGGAUUUCCGAGAAGCAGAGGUGCUAGCCAUCUUGGCAAAGUCAGCGUCAUACGAAGCUCCACCCCCUAUCGAUAAAAGGGUUUUGACAGAAGGGUUUUUGAUUUGGACAGUGUUCGUGAACUGGGAGAAUUGGGCAGCGUUUGCUGAAGAAAUGACAACCUGGUUUGUAUUGCUGUUAAGAUCACUGAAUGCGCAGAAGAGGUGAGUGAAUAGAGUGGAAUCGAUAUCGGAGGCCGCUAUACCGCUAUCAGGAAACCAAUAGCCACCCUUCACAUUUUGUGCUGCACACAAAUGAAGAAACUGGAGAACACAAAUGAGGAAUGCGUAGACAGGAGUUUUGGAAGCCAUGGGAGGUCUUAUCUUAUUUCAUGUUUGUGUUGUUUACUUCUCUUUAUAUAGACAUAACACACAACACAUCUAUCUAGCUAGGAUGUGUAUCCAUCUGUAUAAUAAUAUCAAACGAUUAUGCGUUUGGAUAUUUUCUGUAAGCAGUUUCCAAUGACUGCGACCCGAAAUUCCCAGUGACAAUGAAACAAGUGGGGAAUAAGUCUGGUUCGUGUAUCUGUUGGUGGUUUUAUGAAGAGAUUAGCGUGCAUAUGAUCUAAAGAUUUUAGUGGAGUGAUUACGCGAGCUAUAGAGUGGGCAUUGCCAACUUGGAUUUUGGCUUUGCAUGCUGUAGCCUGUAGGCAUUUGAGGAUGCAUGUACGUGCAACAUGCUGCUAUGAAGUUUAGAAUCGGUCAGAAGUCAUGAUUCCAAGUUUGCAACCGCAUGAAAGUCAGAAGAGAGAUGUUAUGUUGGUUUUUUAAUUUUCAGAGCAAUUUGCAGAAUGUUAGGGGUGAGAGAAUUGAAUUUGCUCUGAAAACAAAUUACAUUUUUCAAGUUGGAACUUGGAAGUCCGGUUGGAAUUGCAGUGAAAUUUGACCUUUUUGAAAUAUUAGAUAUGUCGAUGUCAUAUUUCAAUUAUACGUUUAUAUACAUGUAUUAAGAGGGAUGUAUUGGAUUGAGAUUUCGAAACAUUUUUUUACAUUCAUGAAAUCCGAGAGAUAUUCGAUUGGGAUUGUUUGAAAUCUAUUAAAAUCUUGAGGUAUUCAAUUGGGAUUUUAAAUUAUGCUACAAAAUUUGGUGCUAUUCAAUUGGGAUUUUAAAUUAUGCUUUAAAAUCCGAUGGUAUUCAAUUGGGAUUGUUUAAAAUUCAUUAAAAUAUGAUGGUAUUCAAAUGCUGAUGGAUUUUUUUGGAUUUCAUAAAAUGAUGGAUUUUGCGGCAUUUUUCAGUGUUUUCUAAGUUUUUUGAAAUUCCACCAAAGUCAAUGAGAUUUUGAAGCAUUGUACCUAAAUCCUAUCAACUCUGUGACAUUUUAUCAAGAAUCCGCAUAAAAUCAAAAUCACAUGCAAUCCGUUAAAAUCCAUAGACUAAAACAAUCCAUUAAAAUACCAACCGAAAUACACCCGCUAAAAUUCAAUUAAAUUUAUCAUAUUCAGAUCAGAAUUAGUUUCGCAUUUCAAAAUUUAAUUUAUAUAUGAUCUGUUUAUAAUUUUAAACAAUGGAUCAGAUUUCAUACAUCUAUAAUCUAUAUACAUCUAAAUAUCAAUUAGUAAAAUAGAAAAUUGGAAAAUGAAAACAUUCAAUAUCCACUUGCAGCCGGAGCCUAUUGUCUCGCUGAUUAUUAAUAUCAAAUUCAAUAAAACCAGGCUUGAGAAGCAUAUGAAGAAAUAGAAGAAGUCGAUAAGAUGAAGCAUCAUCGUGGUACAAGUUGAGAAAUAGUUGCAAUAUCCACUGAAAUUACAUUCUCAGUGGUAAAUCUUGUCACCUCACCUUACCGACUUCUGGAUUAGGUAUGACUUGAGUUUCAUUUGUGAGCAUUGACGAAAUCUCCAACAUAAUUGGCCUUUCUUCCCAUUUUUCCUUAACACAUAACAAAGCCACUUGCAUGAAUCUUAAAAGUUUACAUGAUAAAGAGGGUUGUAUUGGAUUGAGAUUUUAAAGCAUUUUUUUGCAUUCAUGAAAUCCGAGAGUAUUCGAUUGGGAUCGUUUGAAAUCCAUUAAAAUCUUGAGGUAUUCGAUUAGGAUUUUAAAUUAUGCUACAAAAUCCGGUGGUAUUCAAUUAAGAUUUUAAAUUAUACUUUAAAAUCCGAUGGUAUCGUCUAGCGAUGGGUCAAUGAACUUUGUGCCUUUUCCAGCUUUCCAUAGAUUAUCAUAUGCCUGAAACAAUUGGUUUCUGUUUUCUUAAUUGUAUCUUGUUGUCCUUCACAUACCAAAUUUCCGAAUGAUGCAUAUGUAUAUGAAGACGAUAUUGUGCCUGUUUGACUAAACUUUUCAGAAAUAAGGGUUUAUUUCUAGAGAAAAGUACAUGUAACUCUACUUUUUCCAGAAAUAAGCCCUUAUUCUUUUUACUAAAUAAUGAAUAUAAAACACUUGCUUGACAAAUAAGCUCUGCCAAACAGAACCAAUUAUCUUACGUAUUCCAGCAGAUUUAAGCUCCUGGUUGCACCAUAUAGAUGUGUACAUUUCUUUCCACUUAUAAUUUGUAGUAGUAUUACUCCAAAGCUGUAAACAUCAUAUUUUCUCGAGUAUAUUCCUUGUUUUACGUACUCGGGAGGAACAUAACCACUGCAUUCAAAUUUUGAGGGAUCAAAGUUUAGGCAUAAACUGAUAUAACACAGCUGUAUGAAAGUAUGUACUGAUCUUGUACUUACUAUGUUCCGACAAUCUUUCCUGUGUUUCCUUCAUUUUCGUCUUUCUGGAAGCUUCUAGCUAUACCGAAGUAGGAUAUUUUUGGCCUCAUCUCUGCAUCCAGUAAUAUGUUGCUGGCUUUCAUAUCUUGGUGAAUUAUUGUCAAUCUUGAGUACUCCUGCAGACACAGUAGCCCCUGAAUAACCCCUUCAAUUAUAUGAACCCAGUUCUCCCCCUGGAGCAUUGACCUUGCAAUUGGUUCUACAUUAAUAGUAUAGAAGAUUUUUAGUCUUUUGUGCAACUCAUCAGUUAGAGGAGCAGGCUGGAAUAGAAAUUGAUGCACAUUUUACUGUUCAAGUGCAUGCCUUUUCAUCUAAAAUCGUAUUAGACUGUGGCAGAUCGAAUAGCAAUCUAUUAAUUCCAAGUUUGAAUAGUUAAGUGUUCAUAUCUUAAUUUCCAGUGAAGUCAACUAUUUUGCUAAACCAUGGUGGAAAGAGUAUUGACUUGUGAGCGGAACCAGGAGACAAACUCACCCGGGGCUCAAAAAAUAUUCGGGACUCAGAAUAUUUAACAACAUUUGAUUGAGGGAAAAAUAUCAGUUAAUACAAAGAUUUUUGAAAUUUAUCCGGGGCUCAAAAAAUUUCUUUAUAUCAUUUUUAGAGAACAUUCGGGGCUGGAAAAAAAUUUUCUACUGGUUUUUUUUCCCUGGCCGGGGCUCCAGCCCCUCCCGCCCCUGCUUGUGAUGAUAUAUGAUGUGUCAUGUGUGUGUGUGUGUUGGGGUGGGGGAGGGGUAUUACUAAUACAUCUCCUGCACCGGAACUUAGCAAGUUAGUGACUACUUGCGAUUGUAAUGGAGGGGAUACCAAACAUGCAGAAGUCCAAGCUUUUGUUUGGCAUGUACUCGUAGAUAAGCAUCUUUUCUUCUUUCGCUGUGCAAAACCCCAGGAGUCUGACCAAGUUAACAUGUGUGCAAAACCCCAGGAGUCUGACCAAGUUAACAUGUUGUAGUUUCGCUGUAAGUGCAACCUCAUUCUUAAACUCCUCAACUCCCUGUUUGGAAGUUUGUGACAGUCUUUUCACUGCUAUUUCCUGCCGGUUUUUCAGUUUUCCCUGGGAAAAUUGUAAAGAGAUUUAGUAUUUCCCUGUUAAUUACACAGUUCUUAUAGUAGUUCUUUCAUAUAUGCAUGUGCACAGCCNNNNNNNNNNNNNNNNNNNNNNNNNNNNNNNNNNNNNNNNNNNNNNNNNNNNNNNNNNNNNNNNNNNNNNNNNNNNNNNNNNNNNNNNNNNNNNNNNNNNNNNNNNNNNNNNNNNNNNNNNNNNNNNNNNNNNNNNNNNNNNNNNNNNNNNNNNNNNNNNNNNNNNNNNNNNNNNNNNNNNNNNNNNNNNNNNNNNNNNNNNNNNNNNNNNNNNNNNNNNNNNNNNNNNNNNNNNNNNNNNNNNNNNNNNNNNNNNNNNNNNNNNNNNNNNNNNNNNNNNNNNNNNNNNNNNNNNNNNNNNNNNNNNNNNNNNNNNNNNNNNNNNNNNNNNNNNNNNNNNNNNNNNNNNNNNNNNNNNNNNNNNNNNNNNNNNNNNNNNNNNNNNNNNNNNNNNNNNNNNNNNNNNNNNNNNNNNNNNNNNNNNNNNNNNNNNNNNNNNNNNNNNNNNNNNNNNNNNNNNNNNNNNNNNNNNNNNNNNNNNNNNNNNNNNNNNNNNNNNNNNNNNNNNNNNNNNNNNNNNNNNNNNNNNNNNNNNNNNNNNNNNNNNNNNNNNNNNNNNNNNNNNNNNNNNNNNNNNNNNNNNNNNNNNNNNNNNNNNNNNNNNNNNNNNNNNNNNNNNNNNNNNNNNNNNNNNNNNNNNNNNNNNNNNNNNNNNNNNNNNNNNNNNNNNNNNNNNNNNNNNNNNNNNNNNNNNNNNNNNNNNNNNNNNNNNNNNNNNNNNNNNNNNNNNNNNNNNNNNNNNNNNNNNNNNNNNNNNNNNNNNNNNNNNNNNNNNNNNNNNNNNNNNNNNNNNNNNNNNNNCACACACACACACACGCACAAAUGUUUUUCGGUUUUCACAAUGUGUGCGCGCAGGUAUAAUAACCAAACUAAAGUUAGAAUUUAUAAGAAUUACCUUGUACACAGGUCCAUAUCCACCCUCUCCGAGCCUAUUAUUCAUUGGAAAGUUAUUUGUUGCUUCCUUCAUUACAGCAAAACUGAAUACUUGUAGAUUAGGAGAUGAUGACUUUUUGCCUCUGUAUAAAAGCUGGUUCACUGAGACAUAAGACACAGAUUUAGUCUAUUCAUCCUUUACACAUUUAACUAUUUAAGAGUAUUUUGUUUCAGUAUUUUCUUUUAUGGUUUCACAGAUCAGCCAUACAUUUUUUUCUCUAAUUUAAUUAUUCAACUGUACCAAAUGUAUGUAAAUUACUAUACCUUUUAAUUUGUUUACUCUGUUUCUCAGGAGCAUCAUGGUGCCCAGUAGAAAGGCAAUAACAGCUGUUGUAGGCCAAACAAUCAGCAUUCACCGUUAUCGCUUGGAAAGUUUGUCUUCCAAUCCAGCUGUUAAGGUAAACGGGUGAUUUAAUCUGUACUUAGAAAAUUUUCAUUCAUCAAUUCAGUGCCUUCAACUUACUGGUUUUGAUUGUUUCAAAAAAUCAUAGUACUCCCUCCCUCCCAUUUUAUCUGCUUUUGACUUUUUUACACGUAUUUUAAGAUUAAAAAAAAUCACAUCUAAAGUCUAAACAUAAUUAUUCUUUAUAAAAUUUAUAUCAAAUAAUUGUUUUUUAACACCUCAAUAUACGUGUCAAAAAGCCAAACAACAGUUAAAAUGGGACAGGGAAUAAACUGUUUGCAAAUGAAAUUUAUAAAUUAACGGACGAAAACUCUGAUACUGUUGAGUCUGUCUCAUUCUGGGUGCCACACUGCCAUUUUUCAUUCAUUACAGAAUUUUCAUGGUCCAGCAUCUAGCAAAGUCUAGUAUGCUGCUGAUGCAUUGCUUUCCAGAUAUUACAAAUUUAGUAUUACCCUUUCCUCAGAUUACCAUCAUAAUUUUAGUCGCACUGUACAUUCCAAAAUAUCUGCCCCCUCACCAUUUGUUUCAAAUAAUGGUUCCCAAUUUACUGAAAGAGUUAUAAAGACUUGAUAAACGGACUAAAUAAACUUCUACUAAAAAAACACUCUAAAUAAACAUCUACACAGUUUUCUGCAAGGUUCAGCUCUCUCCCCAAGUCCCCAAUUCUCGUUUGGCUUCUUGAUUGCAGAAACAUUAGAUAAAAAAGAUAACGUUAAUGAUAAACUUUUUUAUCAAUAAUAUAUAACGGAUCUCCUUAAUAUAUAACAUGUUCUAAUAAAAAAAUUAUUAUUAAUUAAGUCAAAAUAUUAUAAAAAAUCGGUUAAUAUGAUCGGUUUGUGUUUCAAUUAAAUUUAAAAUAUAAAUUAUAAAAUUAUAAAUGUUAUAAAUCCCACAUGUUAAUAAAAAAGCUAUGCUAUUAAUUAGGUAAUAGUAUUGUUUUUCAAUGCCAGUGUGAGUUGGUAAUUGGCACGAAAUGGAAUCGUCUAUUUGACUGAUUAUGCACGCAUAAGUGGCUGAAACAUAUUUAAUCAAUUCAUUUUUAAAUUUUGAUUAAUUAUUAUACAUUUUUCUAUUAAAAUAACAAGUUUAACAUAUUAAAUAUUAAUAUACAAUUAUGUUAUAUCAGAUCAGUCAUUUUAAUUAUUUUUUAUUUAAUUAAUUAAUCAUUAUACUGAUUAGUUCCGAUCGACUUGAAGAAUAAUGUUAAGAAGUAGAAUAUGUUUUAAUCACUCACACGCUGUAGAUGGUCAUAAAUAGCCAAUCAUGUUAUUCUCUUCUUCAUGAGCUUAUUUAUAUUUAAAUUACACAUCACAACUGCUCUUACAAGUUUUAUUACAAAGUUACUGAUCUUAAUUUGUAGUCAACUUUUCUUGUGCUGAUCUUCGGUUUGUUACUGACCAUGUUGCCUUUCAUUCUUCCCAUGCCUGUUUAGCUGCAACCAGUAAAGAAAGUUACUAUAGACGCGGAGCAAGAAUUAAUCGGAUAAAUAUAAUAUCAGAUUAAAGGGAGCAAUAUCUGGAGAUAUUAGAGCCUAGAGAGUAAUAGCUAAAACUGAUCCUAACUCAUAAGUACUAACCUUGCUGAGAAAGAGCCCAAUUGGCAUCAGAUGCAACUUGCCAUGCAAAGUAACCAAGCAAGCCCUUCUGUUUAGCAUACGAAACCUUUGUUGAAAUGCUCUGCUUAUCAUCAUAUCCGAUCCAUGUCGUCCCUGAGUAACAAUAGUCCGCAACAAUCGUUGAGUUAUAAAUCGUUGGAGCAUUGUUGUUUGCAAUAAAUUCCAAUAUCUGAUUGUAUCCUCUGGCUCCCUCACCAGAACCUUCCGGAGGUCCAUUUGCUGGAGCCAUCAAUCCAUGGUUAUCAGGAUUCACAAGCUGCCAUGAACGUCCGUAGAAUGGCAGACCAAACACCAGCUUGUUUGCGCUCACACCAGCUUGGAUCCAGGACUCGAUGCCUGAGCUGCCGCUAACUCUGCCACUAGGAUCAUAUAAUGCAGCAUGAGCAUUGGUCAUGGAAGGUGUCCAUGGACCAUAAAAGUCAUAGGCCAUCACAUUGAUCCAGUCCAGGCUUCGUGAUAUCGAUUGGGUAGGAUAUCUCAAUCCAUCAACGGUUGGCCCAACAGAAACAGCUGCAGUUAAUAGAAUUCUUGGCUUGCCAGAGGCUUGAGCCUCUGCGUCUGCAGCCGCGCGCCACUCGUCUAGCAACGUGCCCAAGUUGACCAUAUCAUUGGCUGUUAAGGGGUACUCAUAAUCGAGGUCUAGGCCGUGGAAAUUAUUUGAUCUUGCCAGUUGUAAGGAGGAAUCAAUGAAGGAUUUUCGAGAAGCAGAGGUGCUAGCCAUCUUGGCAAAGUCAGCAUCAUUGGAAGAUCCACCUCCUAUUGAUAAAAGGGUUUUAACAGAAGGGUUUUUGCUUUGGACAGUAUUGGUGAACUGGGAGAAUUGGGCAGCGUUUGCUGAAGAAAUGGUGACUUGGUAGGUAACGUUAUCAAGGUCACUGAAUGCGCAGAAGAGGUGAGUGAAUAGAGUGGAGUCGAUAUCGGAAGCUGCUAUACCGCUAUCAGGAAACCAAUAGCCACCCUUCACAUUUUGGGCUGCAGACAAAUGAAGAAACUGGACAACGCAAAUGAGGAAUGCGUAGACAGGAGUUUUGGAAGCCAUUAGAGAUCUUAUCUUAUUUUAUGUUUGUGUUGUUUACUUGUCUUUAUAUGGAGUAAUACAUUUAUCUGGCUGAGAUUUGUUUCUAGAGCACAGCUGUCUGGUUUGAAAAUUCAAAACUUGUACUCCCUCUGGUUUUUUUAUAUGACGUUUUGACUUUUGGCACACACUUUUAAGUGCUUUGACCAGGCAGUUAAAAAUAUUAAUUUUUAAAAUUUCUUAUUCUGAAUAAUAGUAUGUAAUCAAAAUUUUUAUUCAGAAAAAGAAAAUUCAAAAAAUAAUAUUUUUAACUAUCCGGUCAAAACACUUAAAAGUGUGUGCCAAAAAUCAAAGCGUCAUAUAAAAAAAAAGGAGUAAGAGCAUCUCCGAUAGUCUCUUAGUUAGCUCCUAUAUAUAAUAUAAAAUAUUAAGAGCAUCUCCAGGAGCCUCCUUGUUGGCUCCUAAAUAUAAUAUAAACACCGGGGCUCUUAGGAAUUUAGAACAAAGUUAAGAGUGUAAACUUCAACAAUACUCUCUACAUCUCUUCUCUAUUUCAUAUAUUAUUCAUAUAUUGGGCUCCACUACAACAAAAGAGAGUGAAAGAUGGAGGUGAAUUGGAGGGAAAGAUUUUUUUAUUGUAAAAAAAUAAGUUAGGAGCCAUGUGGUGGCUCUUAACAUUGAGGAGAGAGGAGAGAGAAACAAGAGGCUCUUAAGAUUUAAGAGACAUUUAAGAGUUUUCUGGAGCAAUAUUUUUCCUCUCCAUCCUCAAAUCUCAAGUUAGGAGCCUAAAUGAAGAGCCUCUUGGAGAUGCUCUAAGCUCUUAGGAAGUUAAUACAUUACUAAGAGUUUGAUCUCCAAUAAUGCUCUCUAUACACACUCCUAACACUAUAUUUUAUUAUUAUUUAAACUCUACUAUGACAACAGUUCAAAGUCACAUGGGUGAGAGUGAAUAUUAAAUUAUAAAAAACAAGUUAAGAGCCAUUUAGUGGCUCUUAAAAGAUAGGAGAGAGAAGGGGCUCCUAGUAUUUUUAGGAGUCACUAAGAGCCUACUGGAGUUUCAUUUUUUCUUAUCCUCUUUAUUUUUGGUUUUAAGAGCCAAUUUAAGAGGUUAUUGGAGAUGCUCUAAUCUAAAAUGCUUGAAAGAGGACGUAAUAGAUUUCUUCAUUUCGUAAAUGUAUCCAACUGAAUGGAUUGAACUGUAUCAUGUGUACUUCGCCUAAGCUCAUUUCUUCUUUGAAUGUCUGGUUAUGCUUUUCAAAUUUUAAAUUCAUAACAUAUAUUUUUUGUAUUAAUAAAUUUUUUAUAUUGAAUAAGUUAGUAUUUGAAAAGAAAAUUUAAUUUAGAAUAGGAAAUGCUCGUCAUUACCCAUGUCCCAUGGGUGGCGUUAAAGAAAUUUAGGAACAAACGUGGUGGUGGCCUGCAAUUCCCAGUGAGAAGUCAGGGAGAAAAAGUCUGGUUCAUGUAUCUGUUGGUUGUCGUAUGAAGAAAUUAGGGUGCAUAUGGUCUAAGAUUACGGUGAGUGAUUACGUAAGUUGACAGAAUUACAUGACAUCUCGGAUUUUGCUUUCAAGGCUGUAGAUGCACGUGUCACUAUGAAUUUUGCAAUUGGUCAAACUCAGAAGCCAUGAAUUCAAGUUGCAGCCCCAUCAAAGUCAGAACAUGGAACCAAGUCUCAACUUUGGGACCGCAAUGAAAUUCAAUUUUGACCCGGACAAGUUUUCACGAAAUAAUACUACUUAGCUAAUCCUCUAUUUUUUUACCGUUUUUCACUGCUCAACACAUAUUUUAAAACACAUACUCCCUCCGUCCCCUUUUAAGGGGUCAUUUGGCAAAUCUGAAUCUAAAGUUGAUGAACGAUUAAUAUAUCUGAAUUGAUUAGUUAUCUGAAUACUGAAUGAAUAAUCUCAUUUGAUAAAAAUAUAUUUUAGAAAUCUGAAUCAUAAUAAAUUUUAUUUUGAUCUUUAAAUUUUAAUAAAAUUAUCACUUGACAUAAUAAUGUUAAAUAUAAAAGAACCAUUUUGAACCAAUUAUAAUAUAAAUUAAUCAAUAAAUAUUAUAUUAUAUACACAUAUAUAUGGGUGGAAUAAUAAAAUCAAAAUUAAUCAAUAUAUUUAAAAUAAAAACAAUAUUACACGAAUAUGCUUAGAUUUUUGUGUGUUUUUAAUUAUAUUUAGAUACUUUAUAAAGAAAAAUAAAAUAAAACAAAAGUAGGUGGAUACAGUGAAAGCAGAGGGAUACAGUGCAGGGUUAUUAGCUGAGCGCUACAGCCAGUCAAUUGUAUAUGACUCGGUCAGCAACUGUAUUGAUUCAUUCGGCCACAUCCAGCAAGCCAAAAACCGUACUCCCUCCUUCCCAUAUUAAUAGUCCACUUUGUCAAGAAAAAAUUUCUCAUAUUAUUUGUCCAUUUUCUUUGUCCAAUACAAAUUAUAACAAGUUUCAAUGUUAACAUUUACUAGUUCACACAAUUUUCAUUAUUUACAAUGCAAACUAUGUUGACUUUUAACCAAAAUGAAUGAAAACUUAGUAGUAUAUUUGUAUAACCAAUGCAUGGCAAUGAUAACAACAUAUCACAUUUAAUACUUCUUAAUUUGUGUGAUUUGUGCAAAGUGGACAAUUAAAAUGGGAAGGAGGGAGUAACAAACAAACUUAUUAAACUGAAUCGUUCAAUUCAUAUCUAUUCAGCCCUUUCAGCAGCAAACAAAUGGCCCCUAAAUGUCCCUUUUGAAAUUUUUUUUUGUCCCAAAUUACUUGUCCACUUCUCUUUUCAAAGCAAUUUUUUGUAUGUUUUUUGAAAAUGUAACAACUUCCAAUGUUUGAUUAGCAUAUAUAUACACACAACUCUAUCUAAUUCAUUACAUUUAUUAGGGAUAUGUAUGAAAACAAGAUACCCACCUAACAUUUUCUUAAGAUGCGUUAUUUUUUCAAAAGGGACAAGUAAAAGGGGACGGAGGGAGUAUAAAACAUAGUUUUAUAACUUACUUUUAGCAAUUUUCUUCUUAUAAAAAUUUAAACAUCAAAUUUUUGUUCAAAAGAAAAAAAGUUCAAAAAAUUAUCGAAUUAUGUUUUACGAGAUCAUUAGAAUGCGUGUCAAGCCCCGUCGCCCAACGUAAAUAAAUGAGGGGGCCGGAAAGAGUAGUAUGUCUAAGAAUUUUGAUAAUAUUAAUUGGUAUAAAUACUUAAGAUUCAAAUUCUUUCGGAUCUGAAAAAGAAUAAAAAUCUAGUACAAGUCCAAAAAAAUCGAAUUUAGAAAAAUUUAAAUAAAUCGAAACGGAUCUAUCAGGUCGGAUAAAAUUAUCGUCGAUGUCCCCACACAAUCCUCCUCGAAGAGUCACCGUUGAAGGUGUGUAUUCUGUUGGGAUUUUAAUGGUUUGUUUUUAAUUUAUAAAUUUUAAUAAAUUAUAUGUGAUUUUAAUUUUGUGCGGAUUUUUGAUAAAAUAUGGUAGAGCACGAUAGUUCAGGAUAUCAUGCAUUCUGGUGGAGUUUCAAAAAAUUUAAAAUACACGAAAAAUUACUGUACAGAAAAAUAAAAGAAUUUCGGUUUAGCGGGGAGGGGCCAUUAUCCUUGCUGUCUGAAGUGUUGAAACUGGUUUAGUACCCUUGUCUCUUUGUUCGACUACACUCCGGCCUCCGCUCAGAUCGGAUCUACUGUAUCCCCUCCCCUCCCACAACUUUUUUCACCAACCCCAACUCAUAAAACCAAUUUUAUUCUUCUCUUUUUAUUUAUCUAUUUUUCUUAUUUUCACACACACAACACACACAAACAUUACAUCAAAUAUAUUCACCUUUCAAACCUCAUAACCAAGAAUCAGAAACCCCCAAACAACCCAAUGCUCAAUCCUAUUGAAUUUCACAAUACCAAAAUAAAAAUAAAAAAUCUUGGAACAAUUGAGUUGAAUUAUUGAGGUGCAUUAAUGGGGAAUGUAACAGCAGGUGUGGCUGCAAAGUUUGCAUUUUUUCCUCCAGAGCCACCAACAUAUGAUGUCAAGAAAGAUGAGAAUGGGAAGCUCACAUUCACAGGCCUCACAUCUGAUAAAAACGUGGAUGUUCAUUUGUGUGAAACCAAGGCUGGCAACAAAGUUGCAGCUACCUUUUGGAAACACCCUUCUGGGAGGCUCACCCUUUUGUAUUCUCAUGGCAAUGCUGCUGAUUUGGGCCAAAUGCAGGAUCUUUUUAUUGAGCUUAGAGCUCAUCUCCGGAUUAAUAUUAUGAGGUACUGCUAUCCCUUUUCCUUUUUAUCAGCUUUAUCGAAAAUAAUUGUGUUUUUCGGGUUUUAGGUUUGCAUUUUAUGUUGUAUUUGUCCAAAUAGAUAUCUGUGAAUUUGUCUUGAAUUUUAUUUGGAGAAGUAGGUGUUGAUGGGUUAUUUGAUUUCUUGGCAUGUUAGUUAGGUAUCAAUUUAUUAUUUACCAAUGUGGUUCAAUUCUAUUACGGUUCUGGCAAUGCGUAUGUUUGUGAUCUUAGCUUGUUGGUUAUGUGUCUAUGUUGUUGUCCUAAGGAUUUUAGCUGCUUGAAUUGCCCCCUUAGUUCAUUUUUGUGCAAUGAAUUGUGUCAUUUUUUUCGUUUUCUCUAUGUUAUUCUUAGAAACUUUAGCUUUGUGUACAUUUGUCAAUUUUUUUUAAAAAAAAUCAGUAAAAAAAGACGUGAAUGAGGAGUUUGUGAUUGUGAAUUGCCCAAGUUGUUGCAUUUGGGCAGGAAAUAUACUGGUCCAAAUGCAACAACUUGGGUAAUCCACAAGCCCACUGCAGACUCCCAAAAGAUUUGCAUUUGGUAGUCAUACUUAAGCCUAUAAACGGAACUAAAGUCUCCAUACUCCUCAACAAUACAGAGAUGUUACACUUGGUUCCAUGUUAUUAACAAAGUUAUUAAUAUGUAGAGACAUACUUUUUUCAUUCAAUAUGUAAAUGAGGGCACUACAGGCUCUUUAAGAUUAAGAUUAUUUGACCUUGUUGCUACUACUAAAUAACAACCUUCUUCUUAUUCAUAGAAUACUGAGUUGUCUAUUUUAUCUGUCGCAGCUAUGAUUAUUCAGGAUAUGGAGCAUCUUCUGGUAAGGUGAGGAAAACAUAUAAUUCUUCUGUCAGACUUCAUAUAUUGGCCUUGUAUGUGUAGCUUAUAAGAAAGCUUGAUAUUUGUUAGCCCACUGAGUUCAACACAUACUAUGACAUAGAAGCUGUGUACAAUUGUUUGAAGAGUGAAUAUGGGAUCAAUGAAGAGGAUGUUAUUGUGUAUGGGCAAUCUGUUGGAAGUGGUCCAACACUGCACUUGGCUUCUCGUUUGCAGAGGUUAAGAGGUGUUGUUCUACAUAGCGCCAUCCUUUCAGGAAUACGUGUUCUGUAUAAUGUCAAAAUGACGUUCUGGUUUGACAUAUUUAAAGUAAGUUCUUUAUUCUUCUACUUUCCUCUUUUAUCAUGCGUUAGGCAUACCUUCUGUCUUUGUAUUUUAACUGUGGAUGCUCUGUUCAAUUUUUCAGAAUAUUGACAAGAUAAAACAUGUUAGCUGUCCAGUCUUAGUCAUACAUGUAAGACAUGGCUCUCUCUCUCUCUGUUUUUUCAUUUUUAAAGUGCAAUAUAUUUUUCUUUUUUGAUUAUUAAAUGCAUGCAAUAUGUAGUUCCAACAGUUGUUCACCAUGGUUCAAAAACAGUUGUUCACCAUGGUUCAAAGUAGGGCCUUGUGCUUGAAACCCAAAAAAGAAAAAAUUUAAAAAGAAUCCAUGUUGUAAAAGUGGACCUUUGCUAUCCAUUAAUGUAAUUAUAGAACAAGGAUGGUUAAAUUUAUGUACAAAUUGUUUGGGUUCGUAAUCUUUAAUUUCUAAGACAUUACAAAAGAGAUAAAGAAGAUGUGGCUCCUAAUAACCAAAAUACCAAUCUUGAGCAAAGUAACAACGAAAUCCUCGUAGCUCGAAUCACGAGCUACAUUUAAAAAUGUAUUGAAUAAACAAUAUAUUUGAUUUAGUGUUCAUAUUUUGAACCCAGAUGUUGCUAGGGUCACGUUAACCUACGAGACAACAUUAAACUUCAGAUACCUUCCCGAGAUACCAGUAAGUGAAAAACCUUAAAGGUUGCACCAAGACCAAGUACCCCUAGCCAUGUAUGAAAGCGCAGUUCAGCAAAAGAUGAUAAAUACUGAUUACUCAGUCCCAAUCUAAUACAAAAAAUUGUACAUACAUUCAAAUAAGACUAAUGAUAUUCCUGAAACAUAAAUAUUUAAACACAAUUAUUUUAUAUAAAACAAACUAGUAUAUUUGGAAAUUAAGUUACUUUGAGCAAUAGCAGUCAUAAUAAGCCUUACAAAUAGGUUUAUAGCAACAAACAUAUUCAGUGUUGACAAUUAUUAAACUUCAUGUUGGUUUAGAUCCUUUAUAUUGCCUAGUAUAUAUUGAGUAUUGACAGGAAAAAAAUCAUCUGCAACGUUUUAGAUAAUUAGUUUAAUUAUUCAGAAGAAAGUUAUUAAUCAAAUUUAAGUACUUAAACUUGGUAGGAAGAAAACACAUGAUAUAAUUUGCACUCCCUACUGAUACUCAAAUAUUGUACUGUCUUCAAAAUACAAACUUCUGGUGAUUUUACAGCAUAAUUGGGGCCAUUUUUUUUUUUAUAAUCAUUAAAAAGGUCCAUUCUCUCAGAAUUCCAAUUACUUCAUGCGGAUACAGCAUUUCUGGAAUGAUAUCCGACUUGGUAGAAACAUAAAUAUAAUCUGUCCUUAGGUAUCCAUCAAAACUUAAAUUAAGUACCGGUUUGAUACUUAUUACAAACCUGGUCGAUUGGUAUAUACAUAAAAAUCUAAUUCAACCUCUAUAUAUGGUACUUUAUAAGUUUACCUGUUUCACUCAGCAUGCAUCCAAAAUAAAUGUAGUAGUUUUGACUUAUCUAUCUUGUAAAAGGGCGUAAGCUGUAGAUCUAUAACGUAAAAUCUCUUCCCAAAAUGUCAAUGACUUGGUUUGUAUUCUUAAUAAAUCCUUUGGUUACACAAAUGAGCAUAUUAAUAUGUUCAAAACUACAAAUAGCUUCCACUAUAGUUGCGCGGAUGUGCUAAUCUUAAGCAGUAUCACUUGAGCUCACUCUUCUUCUCUGGUCAUCCCAGUCAAGUCUAAUGUGGUCGUACAUUGGUGUUCAUACAUUUUUGUGAUGAUCCCCAGGGAACAAAUGAUGACACUGUUGACUUCUCUCAUGGAAAGAAACUAUGGGAACUGGCUCCAGAAAAAUAUGAGCCACUGUGGGUACAGGGUGGAGGACAUUGUAACCUUGAAACAUUUCCAGAGUACAUAAAGCACUUGCGCAAGUUUAUAAAGGCAAUGGAAAAUCUCUCGGUCGCUCAACGUUCCAAGCAAAAGUUGACAAACAGCCCAAGUAUAACAGAUUCAAAGAACAACAGAUGCUUGAGAUUUGGGAAGAGAUGAUCUUUGAUUUCAUAUAUUCAAUUUUUAUUUCCUCUGUCAAACCACGUAAAAUUUAACAGUGGUGCACAAAUAGAGUUCAGAAUGUUGCUACAUGUGCUUUCAUGGCCAUAUUGAAGCUGCUUGCUUUAGGCAUCAGUGAUAUCGUGCUGGCGGACCAUCAGGCUUCUGUUGUAAAAUGUUGUGAAUUGUAAAUACCUUGUUAGAUGAGGAUGCUGCCCAGUUGCAGAUAUUUAGAUGGGGCAGAACUCCAGGACUAUUCAUUCAUAUGUAUGUUGCAGUGAGAAAGACAUGUUACCAGAUAGUCAUAAGAUUAACAAGCAUUAUUAAUCUGUGUUGUAGAAUUCCAUAAGCUAUUAUCAGGAAUUUUUUCUUUUUAUUUGUUUCAUUUACUGGAUGCAGUUUUUAUCUAUUUAUCUCUCAUGUGAAGUUGGCAUCUUGUAACACUUGCUACAACAUUGUAUGAACAAUAGCAAAACCUGGUUAUCACUUAUUACCAGAACUAUGCCAAUUAGAUCGAUCGGGAUAAAUAUCAAAUAGGUGACUCGUUUCGUUCAAAUGUAUCAAUUGAGUUACUGAUUUCCAAAUUGACUCAAAUUAGACAUUCAUUAGAAAAAUUUGUAUCAAAAUUAUCACUCUAUCAUUAGUCAAAAUUUUAAAAGUAUUAUAUAUUAAGUUUCGCACAUUUUUUAUGAAUGGUAUUACAUCUAAAUGAAAGAUUCUGAGUUCUAGUAUUUUAGAUAAUAUUUUUUGAUUUUUAAAAAUUUAUCUUUUAUUUAUUUUUAUUUAAAUCAAAUAAAACAAUCAAAAAAUCUACAUAAAUAGUUGAUAAAAUUUUAAAAAUCUAAAAAUAUUAGCAAAAAUAGUAGGACUCGGAAUUUUUCAUUUGGAUGUAAUACCAUUUAUAAAAAAUGUGCGAAACUCAAUAUAUAAUACUUUCAAAAUUUCGACUAACGAUAGAGUGAUAUUUUUGAUACAAAUUUUUCUCAUGAGUGUCUAAUUUGAGUCAAUUUGGAAAGCACUCAAUCAAUUGAUAUAAUUGGACGAAACGAAUCACCUAUUUGAUAUUUAUCCCCAAUUAGAUCAUGGGUUCCAUUGUUAUCAUUUUUGUUUCUAGUACAAGCUAGGCUUCCUUUAAGGCUGGUUUUUGAUACAGAUGUUACACAAGCAGGCUAAGAUUAGAAAACUGAUCAGUGCUGUGAACCUUAUCAGCUGUUGUUGGAUAACGCCUCUCAUCUCAUUAUUGUUUAUGGUCUCAGUUCUAAAAUGAUAGCCGAUUCACUUUUUUACACAAUUCCAAAUUACUUCCUCCUAUAUAAAAGUUUAACAUAAAAAAAUUAUAAAAAUAUUAUAAAAAUAUGUUACUCCUUCGGUCUCAAUUUAUAGGUCCAUUUUAGAAUAAACACGCAUAUUAAAAAAAAGUUGGUUAGAUAUAAUUUUAUCUCAUGUAUCAUUAAUUAGUGCAUUGAUAAGUGAGAAUAUACUUGAGUUUCAAAAAAAUCACAAUAAAUAUAAGGAUUUAGUGCAUCGAGAAGUAAAAAUAAUAUUGAGUUUCAAAAAAAUCACAAUUAAUAUGUAGAUAAAUUUGUAUUGAAAGAAGAGAGGGACAAGUGUUUUGGGACAAAUUUUUUUUUCCAAAAGGAACCUAUAAAUUGAGACGGAGGGAGUAUUUCUAUUUCCAAAUACAUGUAGAAAUUCAAAACACGCCUAGAUCACCUCUUUUUCAAAAAGAGCUAAUUUUUGUUGGGUAUUUUAGUUUGAUACCGCUUCACACCCACACCCAAAGAGAAGGGAGCUAUUUCGGAAGAAAUCUUGAAGAUGGAAGUCUUCUUUCUUUUCUCAAAAGGUGAAGAAAGAAGCUCAUGAGCUUAUUAGAUUAUUUUUGGAACAGAGAAGUAUAGGCUAUUUCAUGCCUUGCCUUGGGAGAUUGACAUGUCAAUAUAACAAAUUUUUUUAAAUUUUCACUUUUCUGGGCUCAAUUUUUGUCAUUCACUUGCAGAUGCAAUUUGUCAUUAAAUUACAAUUUCAUCUGAAAAUAUUUUCUAAUGCAUUCUAUUAUUAUUAUUUUUUUUUGAAGGCUAAUGCAUUCUAUUAUUUCUAAAGCAUCUUGAAUAUAUUUCUAAUGGAUUCUACUGCUCAUUUUGUCUAAAUCCCGUCGGAGCUAAUUUUACAGGUAUAAUUUUACGCCGUAGAAGUCUCCAAGGUAAAUUCGACAAAUCUGGUUUUGUAUAUUUUGCAUUUUCCACCUCUGAUUCAUGGCCAGGACUGAUAUCAGUUGAAAAUUUUCAAUUUUAAUAUGGGGAAAAAAAAUCCCCAAGGUAAUCCAGUAAUUCUACACGUAUAAUAUUGUAUACUUAACACAACUUAUUUAAUUCUAUUUUUAUAUUUUUUAGAAAAUUAAUAAUUAAAUUAAAAAAUAAAUAGAACACAAAAAUGAUAAAAUACAGACGGACAGAGUGAGGGGCUCAGAUCUGAGAGAGCUGAGGCAGGGGACAUGACACCGCCAUGGCUGCAACCCACCCAGUUGCGCGUACUGUUCACGCGCCCUCUACCGGUGGUUGCCCAGCCAAGAUACAGGUCAAAUUAACCCAAUGCCCCACAGGGUUUGCUAUUAUAUCGUACACUAUUAUCAUCACAGCCUCUCUUGUAUCAAACAAUAUCACCACCACCUCCAUUCUCACCAACGAUAGACAUCUAUCUAUCUAUCAUAAUUCGUUUAGUUUCAUAUAUAUAUGUAUGUGUACGAGUGCGCGCAUAAACACGAGGGAGAGAAAUUGAGAGAGAUUCAGAGAGAGAGAGAGAGAGAGAGAGUGUGUUAAGGGCAGUUGAGUUAUGUGUGAGAAAUCAUGGGCUAAACGGUAGGGGCAACUGCCCUGUAAAACCAUGCCUCCGGCAGCCUCAUUCUUUAUUAGCAAACCCUAAUCUCUCUCUAAGUCCCUCCUCUCUCUUUCUCUCUUUUUAUACCCAACAUUUUUCUCUCUUUCCCUCCUUUACUCCUGNUCUUUCCCUCCUUUACCCCUGCCUUUUUUACUGUAUCACUGUAUCUUACUCAAAUUUUAACUACUAAGGGGUAGUUUCGUCAUUUACAUCACAAGCUUUGUUUCUUAAAUACUCCGUAAUUAUGGAAUCAUAUAGUAAAAAACUGACAUUUUCUUAUAACAAUUACUACUAAUUUACAAAGUAAACACAUUUUCUUAUAAGACAGAAUCCAU
rnacentral:lncRNA from 1 species